rnacentral:lncRNA from 1 species
CUUAGUUAAAGGUAAAUUCUCAGUUUUGAUUUAUGGGGUUUGAUCAUCGAUGCAUGAUAUCCUAUGAUAAAUUGGUUAUAGUUGUUGACGAACUCCUAACAAUUAAUCUCUUCUUACCUUCUCGAUAACCAAGAUGAAUACCAUUGAUUACUUCCUGUGUCGAUAAAUAGUCCUAUAACAAACGAAUAAGAUUCAAUUUACCAAUAGCAUUAAAAUCUAAAGAGACUCAAUUCUAGUAAACAAACACACAAACAGGGUUCAUUCAAACCAAAUCAUAUGUCCACAUAAUAAUUAAUUUCAUACUUCGACAUACACAAUCAUGCUAUUCGUCAUAAGUACUAGAAUCAAUUGAACAACUAAAUUCUAAUUGAUAAGACAAAUAUGUCAAGCUAUCUAACAUGAGUUCUAUAUUGAUAGAAAUAAAGUUUUCCUAAAAUUCUAGUCCCCAACAACGAUGCUAAAAACUUGAUGAUCAUGAAACUAACUAAAAAGUUGACUAAGGCAAGUGCACCUAUCAAUUAAUAGUAUAACUAUGGUGGGUAAAUAUAUCGUUCCCAAGAGAGUUACAAAUACUAGUAGUUACUGUCUUUCUAUUAUUUAACCGAAUAAUUCGAAUGAUCAAUUGAAAAAUAAAAUUAACUAAUGUAAUUAACUAAUGAAUGCCACAAAAAAUUACGAAAAUAAUUGAAUAACAACAAAGAAAUGAAACAAUACUCAGGUAAGAAUCAGCCUAUAUUUUAUUUGCCACUAUCAAAUCAAAUUACACAAUUUCUUUACUUAGUAGCUUGAUCCGUGGAAAUGCCUAAAUUAUGCAAAUGUCUCUUUCGAGCAUAAGAGCAUCAGACUCUAGGUUGUUUAAUUGAAAUUUCUUUCUAAUUAAAACCCCUAUUAUCACAUUAAGUCGUGCUGUGGAUUCCCCUAUUAGAUUUGACUCUAAUCCGGUAGAUUUAUGUCGUCCUAUUUCUAGGAUUGCAUGCAACUUCACUCAAUUACCCAAGAUCUAAUCUUAAACAAGGUCUAUUCAACUACCGAUUUAAGUACAUUGAACAUGGAUCAAUACUUUAGAAAUAUUAAACCAAGCAUUUAGUACACAUAAUUGAGAAUAAGAAACUAAUUAUUUAUUACGUAAAAUAAAAAUCAAACGACAGAAUCCAUCAUAAGGUUCAUCUCCCCUGGGUAUUUAGAAAAUUAGUUCAUCCUCGAAAAUAGAAACAUACAAGAUACAGUACUAUAACCAAAAGAAAUAAAGAAACUCAUAAUAACUUUCUAAGAAAUUAACUUGGAAUCUUCAAUCUUCACGGAAAUCUGCUUCUAAGUCGAGUUCAAUGGUAUUUUUCGAGUUGUUUUCUUAAAUAUUCUCUGACAACUCCGCUCCUAUCUUUUUUUUUUCAUAUAUAUAUAUGUCUUAAAAUGCCUAAAAAACCUAAAAAUCACGAUUUUUAUUGUUCGGUGCACAAUCCUGUGAAAUCGACAUGGCCUACUACACGCUCGUGUGGUCUGGCUGUGUGAAAUGGUUCAGCCGAUGUAGCUCCUGUAGCUUACUCCAAUGCUCCGGUUUUCGCUCUUUUUGCUCCAAAGUGCUUUAUUAAGUAUAAAAACAUGAAUUUAAAAGAUUUAGAGUAUAAAAUACACAAUUAACAUUAAAUAAUCACCUAAAAAUACGUUAAAAAUGUGAUUAAAACAUGUUAUUUUUAGCACUUAUCAUCAACAAACUUGGAUAUUUAUAAUUAAAGCAAAAAAUAUAUAAAUAACAAAUAAUAUAGAAAAAUUAAAAAUAAAUUAGAUCCCACGAAUUUAAAAAAUCAAAAUAUCGAAAAUUGUUUGAUUAAAAAAAGAGUUUAACAACCCAUGAAAAAACAAACAUAAAAAACAAAAUAAUAUUAAACUUGGCUAUUUGUGAUUCUAAAGUUUUAAAGCAUGCAUAUAAAAAAGUACCCCUAAUGAAUUCAAGAGCCAAUCUUCUCACAUUCGCAUUAUUAUUUUCGUAUUAUACGGUAUGUGUUUGCUUUUAGGUAUGAGACACAAAAAACCACGUUCAGAAUGAAAUCACAAAAUAGUUAUACCUAACCUUUAGUUGUGUCUUCCAUAAAAAAUAUAUAUCACAAACCCUAAACAUUUUUCAAAUUUAAAAUAAUUCUCUAUAUUUUAAUAUUAAAUAAAAUACUAAUCACGGGAGUUAGAUGAGAUAAUAAGGAUCUCUCCUACCUUAACCAGUGCUUGAGGGUUCGAUCCUCAUCCUGGGUAUGGAGCAGGUUUAAAACUCAUGACCAAUAUCUACCCCUUAAUGGACCUACAAAAUGCAUAAGAUUAAUUAGUUAUUAAACUCACUCCGAUAUUAAAUAAAGUGCCAACAAUGAGUAUCUUGAUUACAUUACUUUCCAAAAACGAUUUUUCUUUUUCAAUUUUGUAAUUUUCGUGGCAUAUCAUAUUAGUAAGUAUCAUGGUACUUUAUUACUAUAUUGUAUUCGUCUUAUUCUAUUGUUGUUUAAUAGGGAUUGAUAUAGAUCUUCUAAUGUUAGCAAGUCUCGAAAUAAUCUUUAUUAUUGAGAGAUUUUUUUAAGUUAUUGUACUGAGAUUAAUAUUUCUCACUAAGUUAGACUCUACAUAUAUAGCGAUACUGAGUUGGGUAAAUAACUCUUUUAUAUUAUGUUUUUUUAUAAUUCUUAUUGAGUGGUGUAGGAGUACCCACCAUUUUAUCACUCUUUCACACACUUGACUUGAUUCUUAACAACUUUUACAGACUAAAAAUAAUGAAUUGUUUGUGUGAGCAUAAGUUUACAAGCAUAGCGAAUACAUCAUAAGUUUGAUUAUAUAGAAAUUCUAGUAUCAUGUUUUAAGGUUUAUUGUCUCUUUCUACUAAACUUGGCCACCACUUUUUUGGUUUUGUGUUCAAAUACAUAAUAAUCAUAAUAAACUAAGGACAUAGCUAUUAUUUGGAUGUUUUUAUUUUCAAGCAUGAACUAAUUUUCUAAAUACCUAGGGGAGAUGAACUAUAUGAUGGAUUCUGUUGUUUGAUUUUUUUUUUACGUAAUAAAUACUUAGUGUCUUAUUCUCAAUUAUGUGUACUUAAUUCUUGGUUUGAUAUUUCUAAAUCAUUAAUCUAUGUUCGAUGUGCUUAAAUCGGUCGUUGAAUAGACUCUAUUUAAAAGUAGAUAUUGCUUAAUUGAGUGGAGUUGCAUGCAAUCCUAGAAAUAGGAUGACAUAAAUCUAUUGAAUUAGAGUCAAAUCUAAUUGGAGAAUCUGUAGUAAGAAUUAAUGCAAUAAUAGGGGUUUUAAUUAGAAUUUUUUUAAAUUAAUCAACCUAAAUUCAGUUGUUAUUAUGCUCAAAAAAGAUAUUUACAUAAUUUAAAGAUUUCUACGGAUUAAGGUGCUAAGUAAAGAAAUUGCAUAAUUUCGAUUGAUAGUGACAGAUGAAAUCUAGACAGAUUCUUUCCUGAAUAUUGUUUUGCUUCUUGGUUGUUACUCAAUUAUUUUCGUGAUUUAUUCUUUGUCGCGUUUGUUAGUAGUUAAAUUAGUUAACUCUAGUUUUAAUCAAUCACUUAAAUUAUUCAGUUAAAUAAUAGAAAACAAUAAUUACUAGUACUUGUAGUUCUCCUAGGAACAAUAUCUUUACUCACCAUAGUUACACUAUUAAUUAAUAGGUGCACUUGUCUUAGUCAAAAUUUUAGUUAGUUUCGUGAUACAUCACUUGCCAUGAAGUUGUUCUAUUGAUUUCACUUAGAAUCUAUGGAAGAAAUUUGAAGUUUAAAGCUUGAAAGGAUAGGAAAUGAAGGAAAGGGACUAAAAUGAAAGAAAAAUGAAACUUGCUAUAGAAAGGGAUGAAGGUGGUGUGAAUGAGAAAGAAGAAAAACAAUGAUGGAGGAUAAUGCCAAAUGAUGGUGAAAUGAGUUUUGUAGAUCUAUCCAAAAAAUAUCUACUAAAUUUUUAUAUUUUAAAUUACUAAUAAAAAAAAUCAAGUCAUCAUCGUCCAAACAAGUGAACCACAUUGCAAUUUAUUUUCAUCCACAAAAUCAUGUACCCAUUUGGGUUAAAUUGCUCUUCAAGUCCUUCCUAUUUUUUCAUCUAAUUAAUUUAGUUAUUUCUUAUUUCUAAUUUUUACACUAUUACCCAAUACUUCUCACACUUUUACAAUUUAGUUCAUACCUUAAAUUAAUUUCUCUUUAUUUAAAAAUCCUUUUAAUGUCUUAUGACAUCCAACUACCUUCUCCAUUAAUAAUAAAAAAUCUUAUUUUAUCUACUUCAAAAGUUCUAACACUUGCACAAUCCGAAAUGAUAUAUACUAUUCUCAUUUGGGGUAUUAAAGAUAUUAUAUGUAUGAUAUACAUUAGGAUUACUUAUUAUAAUUGUUGAAGAAGUUGAUAUUUUUCAUUGGGCUAAACUUUGUAAAUGUAGGAAACCAAAUUAAAUAAACAACUUCGUUUUAUUGUUUCUCUUAGUAUAAAUUUAGCGAAUACAUAAUAAGUUUGAUUAUAUAGAAAUUCUAAAAUCAGGUUUAUUGUCUCUUUCCACUAAACUUGCCACCGCUUUUUUGGUUUUGUGUUCAAACACAGGCUAGCUAUUAAGUUCUGUCUAUAAAUAGUGAAGCUCAUGUAAAGAAUAAGCAUAUAGAAAGAGAGAGAGAUCAAAUUAAUCGAUAGUUAGAAAUUGCUGCUGCCUAAAAAUAAAAACAAAAUGUCUUUCGCUGCGCCAAGGUUUAUAGUGCUGAAAUCCAAGGAGGAAUAUUUGGGCAUUGUCGAUGGAAAUGGAGCGGACGAUGGGUAUCUCAAAUUUUCAUCGGCAACACAAGCAAAAAGCGCGUAUGCAAAAUUUGAGGUGGAGGAGGCGGCUUCCGGACAUGGCUUGGUGCACAUAAGGAGCUGCCGAAACAACAAAUACUGGGAACGAGUCCAAAAGAAUCCAACGGGUGGAAAUUCAGACUGCCUAUACUGGAUUGCUGCAACUGCCAAAACGCGGGAGGAAGACCAAUCCAAGGGCUCCUGCACAUUGUUCAAGUUUAUCCCUGUGGACACUGCAGUAAAUACUGUCCGAAUUAUGCAUGUCCAGUCAAAAUGCCCUUUAUUCCUAGGUACUAACCGCUACGUGUUGGCGAGCAACCACGUUUCCGACGGUAGUUCGGAUGAUACCUUCACAAUCAUCAACAGGGAGUCGCUGGAUUUGCCAAGGUAUGUGGCAUUCAAAGGAGAUAAUGCUCAAUAUCUUCGUCUUCGUCAUAUGAACGGUCACCCAUAUUUGCAGUUUUCAUCUAGUGAUAUUAGCGACCCAAAUGUGGCAAUGGAGUUUUCCGUUAAAAAUGACGGAAUGCUCCUCAUCAAGCCCGUUUCUUCCGAUAAAUAUUGGAGGGACAGCAUGGGUUGGAUUUGGGUAGAUUCCACCAACACCAGUGAUCGAAACACUUGGUUCCGCCACUUUAAAGUUAACGACAACACGAUAGCUCUCAGCACCCUUCGCAACAAUGACUUUUGUAAGCGCCUCACAGCCGAUGGAAAGGAUGAUUGCCUUGAUGCAUGCAUUCCCACCAUUACCCAAGAAGCCCGACUGUUGGUGGAAGAGCCAGUCAUGGAAAGGCAUAUUCAGGGUAUCAAAUAUGACCUUGAUAAUCGGAGGGUGCUUGAGGAGACUGUCAUGGUUAUGUGCGCGAAUACUCACAAAAACAAUACCCCCCAUUCACAGUUUUAUGAAGUGAAAUUUUCUCUUCAAAAUACUGCCACUCGCACUUGGAAGGAUAAUCUUUCACUCAAGCCAGGACUGAAAGCCACCUUUGAUGUCCAACUUCCAUUAUUGGUUGAUGGGAAGACUAAACUAUCAACGGAACUUCAUGCAGGAUACGAGUUUGGAAAGACCUAUACCAAUACCUCUAAAAUGGAAUUCACCCACAAAGCUGAGGUGUCUCCCAUGAGUAAGAUGACCGCAAAUCUGGUUUCAACACUUGGUAAGUACGAUAUUCCCUUCACCUACAUGCAAAAGGACACUCUUUAUAAUGGGAAAACUGUCAAAUAUGAUGCGCAAGACGGCACUUACACCGGUUCUAAUUUCUACAACACCAGACUCGAAAUCAAAGAAGUGCCGCUCAACUCUUGAAUUUCAGAGCAACUAUACAAUAUUUGCUAUAGAUGAUAGUGCUUGUUUGUUUGUUAUCCGUGUGUGUACUAAAUUAAAUAAGACUGUGUGUGUAGAAUUCUGAGUUUGGUCAGAUAGGUGUACUCUUUUUCCACUUUUUGUAUGUAUACAUAUAAAGAGUGGUUUUUUAAUGAGGCACCUUUAAAAAUAAUGUGUUUCCUUUGUGAAAGUCUAUGUAUGAGUGUGUGCAUCUACGAAAUUAAAUAAUGUUUGUAUUUCCUUCGUACAGGCAGGUGUGUGUUCAUCUACUAAAUUAAAUGAAUGCGUAUUGUAGUUUCUUUCAAUUAUACAUUCAAUCCUAUGAUAAAUUAAUUAUAGUUGCAUGAUAUUCUACGACAAAUUGGUUAUAAUUGUUGACGAACCGCCAAUAAUUGAACUCUUUUAAUAUUUUCGAUAAUCAAGAUGAAUACCAUUGAUUACUUUAUCGAUAAAUAAUCCUACAAGAAAUUGCUAAGAUUCAAUUUACCAAUAGCAUGAGACUCAAUUCUUGUCAGCAAAUACACAAACAAGAUUCAUUGAGACAAAAUCAUAUAUCCACAUAAUAAUUAAUUUCAUAUUAAUUUCAUCUUUGGACCAAAAACAAGCAAAGAGUGGAAUACCACAAAGAGAAAGUGUACCUACAAAAAAAAUAAUUUGUGUAAUGGGCACGUGCUUUCUUAAACCGCCCAUAAAAAUCAUAUUCUGCUUUUCAAUGGAGAAUAUCCAUCAAUAACUUCCAUGAAAUGAAUAAUCAGUCCGAAUACUAAAAACAACAAUGCUUUCGAAUAAUCAUGGGUAAUCAAAUGAAAUAAAACGGCUCGAUAAUACCCCAUAUCUAGAGCUAAUUACAUUAUAUAACCAAGUUGGGACAUUGUAGAAUAGGCUAAACUCCUCUCAAUAUCUUUUUGAGCAAGGGCCAAAGUAGCCCCUAACAAUUCCGUUAUUAUACUUAUUAAAGAUUUUAGAUUCAUUAUGUAAAGUAUAACUAUAAAAAGAGGAAGAAUGUGGGCUAGAAGAAAAAUUCCCAUAGCUACCAUAGUGGCAGCAUGUAUAAGAGCCGAAAUUGGAGUAGACCCCUCCUGUAACGCCCCAAUUUUCGCGAAUUCUGUGGAUGUUGGCAUAGGUUUAAUUAUGUUAGUGGGCCUCUAGAAGGCCCAAGCUUAAGAUAGAACCCGGUAAUUUUAGUUAAUUUUUGUUCCAUAAGAAAAAGGGAGUGAAAUUAUGAAAUAGGACCUAUGUGAAAAUGUUUGAAAAUGCUAUAGGCUAAUUUGUAGUGGCCAAAUAAAUAGUAGUGCAAAAUAGGAGGAUUUGCAUGUCAAAUUCCCCACUUUUAAUGUAGUGGCCGGCCAAGGUGAUGGAUAGUUGAUAAUGUAUGCAUUUUAGCAUUUUAAUAGUUAAUGGAUGGUGGGCAUGGUAAGCAUUAUGGGCAUAUUUUUAUUGGAAUUAUGGCAUGAGUAUGGCACAAAUAUUAGUAUAUCAUUUAUGUGUCAUAAAAUGUUGAGUGAUAAGAAUAACAAAAGGAAGUAAAGGAAGGUUUUUGUUCAUUCUUUGUUCUUCAUAGCCGAAUUUGAGAGAGAGCAAAUAGGGGAAGAAACCCUUGAAUAUUCGGUCACUAGGAGGGGGAAAAAUUGAAGGUAAGUUCUUGGUACUUUGCUUCUAUCUUGAUGUUCAUGAGUUCUUCUUGAUUCUACCCUAACUCAUGAAGCAUAUUUUGGUUUUUGGUUGUUGUUUCAUGUUCUUUUGAUGAAAAAUGGAAGAUAGGUGAAGUUGAGCCAAAAAAAUGAGCAUGCAUGUGCCUUAGAUGCUAAGGGGAAAAUUCGGCUAACAUGUUGUGCUUUAAAAUGAUGAAAUGGAGAUUAUACUUAAGUAAAAUCAUAGAUAUGUGAUGAUUGAUUGGUGAUAUACAUGUUUAAAUAACAAGCAUACAAGUUAGGUGUGAAAGAGUGAUUUGGUAAUAAAUCUGCUUGGGACAGCAGCAGUAACGUGACUUUGGAAAAUCACCAUAAAUUGUGGGAGAUGAGUUAGAAGCUGCAUAAAUUAUGUAAUUAAAGCUUAAUGAGUCUAGUUUCAAAUGGAAUAAACGAGAACAUAUUUUGAAUUCUGUACAAUGAGAAAUUUGAUUCGUAAUGAAGAGUGGUCAGAUUAGUCAAACAGUGAAACAUGGGAAAACUUUAAGAAAAAUCUGGUAUUGAUUGGCCAUACUAAAAAUUCUGAAAAUUUUAUGGAUAGAAGAUAUAUGAGUCUAUUUUCAAGGAAAAUUAACGGCACUUGAUUUGGAGUUUCGUAACUCCAGUUAUAAAUGAUUUAGUGACUGUUGCUCAGGAAGACAGCUUGCAGUGAAAUUAUGAUUAUGGGGUAAACAUUGACAAAAAUUUGUUAAUGAGUUGCUUAUUAAUUUCUUAUAAGCUUACUAUGAUCUGUAGGUGUGAUUGGCUGAAUAUUAUAAGGGGUUAAUACGUAGUUUGUAUUUGAAUAGUUAGAUUAACGUGUUAGUAAUCCAAUUGUAGGCGGUUCGUGUGUGGAUCUCGUCAGCAUAUUGUCGCAAACAGGUGUGUAACUAACACCCUCUUUCUUAGUCUAGAUCGGCAAAAGUCAAAAAGUCAAAAUGCCGAAAAUCGGUAUUUUGUAGAUUUACGAGUGUGCGAAUGCUCGUGAGGUAAAUCGAUUAAUGCUUUAGGUAAGCUGCAAUGUUUGGACUGCAAAGUGCAUGAUUUCUGUGCCCUCGAUAUUUUUGGGCUUAAUGGGCCAAAAUUGGAAUGAUGGGCCAACGGGCCCAAUUCGGUAAGAACCCUCGGUAGUGAUUCUGUUAGUACGUGAAAGGUAGGAAUAUGCAUGAAAAACCCUAAAAUAGAUAAAUUACUGAAAUACCUUUAAAAGUGAAAAAUUUACAGUUUUACCCCUAGGAGAUAAAUUACCAAAAUACCCCUAGGGUUAAAUUGACCUAAAUGCAUGUUUGACUGUUGUUAUUUACUGCAUGCCAUGUUGUUAUUAUCUGAUGCAUGAGACUAGGAUAUUGACGGAGGAAGUACUGAAAGUGGCUUGUCCACGUAUUGGAGGCUUUGCCUCAAUUUACUGUUAACUGAGCAGCAAGGCUGCAACUGUAGAGUGUUGGGCUGGGUGAGUUGAGUUAUUCCCCACAUGGAGUGUAUGGCUGGUACGGGUGGAGUGUAGUGGUUGGUGGGUUGAGUAGUCUCCCCAAAUGGGCUUGCAUAUGUUUACUGAUGUUGCAUGUAUUUUGAAAUGGGCCUAUGGGCCAUACUAUUAUCUGAAUAAGGGGCUAAGGCCCAGUUUAUUGUAAUCUGAAAAGGGCUCUGGCCCAGUACCACUGUUACCUGAAUGGGCUUAGGCCCAAUGGGCUUGAGCUGACUUGGGCUUUGAAUGGGUUUUCCUUACACAUUGAGUAGGUGAGCCUUGAUGUGGGUGACUUGGAGCCGGAGGGGAUUUAGAGUGGCCAUGGUAAAUACUUUUGGGUUUGAAAAAGAGACUGGUUUUCUUAAGUUAUUUUUAAUUACUAUUUAAUUUUUGGGUUGUAAUAAGGCCAUUUUAACUUUAUUUUCUUCUUUGAUUUUUCUGGGAUUAUAUUAUUAAAAAAACUUUAAAUUGAUGGAUACUAAUUCAAAUGGGCUAGACUUAGGGCGUGAUUUCAAAAUGAUACUUGUUUUUUUUAAAAUAACACGACGUCACGAAUAUUCGAUUUACCAAAGAUAAUCACUCAAAGAAAUUUUGUUAGGAUCGUCCCGAUUAAGCAACGAACAAGUAAAAAUAGUAGAAGAAAUUGAGAAGAUGAACACACAAAUUUAACGUGGAAAAACCCCUCAAAAGAGGAUAAAAAACCACGGGAAAGAUAAUUUUACUAUAAUGGCAAAAGAAUGAAGAGUACAAAAGAUGGAGAUAAAAACUAAAUCCCGAAAACCCGAAAAACAAAGAACCCUCAAACGUAAACACAAAAUUCUCUGAAUGUGUUAUGAGUUCUAAUCUAAUGGGUGUCUCUUAAUUCUAAGAUUGUAAAGGAGCCUAUUUAUAGGCUAAAUUAGUAAGUCAAAUAAACUAUACUAAUAAAUGCUAAAUAUAUUAUACUAAUAAAUACUAAAUCUUCUAGAAAGAAAAUAUAUUUUUGUUUAACUUGACUUGCAAGCAAUCUCUUAGAAUUUGGGUCACAUAAUUCUAACAAAUUUCAACUUGUUAUAACCAAGUGUGGCAAUGGAUGUGGGCAUGUCUAGGAUUGGAUCCAAUCGGAGAGCUUGGUACUUAAGCAGCCUUCAUGGCUCACCUCCUCUGUUAUGGAUACUUACCUGGUGCCCAGCUUCCAUUCACUUGGUUAGUUUGACAAAAGUCGGCUUUUUAAAACACUAAAAAGGGAGCACGGGUUUUUGACUUCAAAGUGGCACGUCGGAUUCGGCCUUAACGUCUGGGCCGGGUUUGGGGUGCUACACCUCCAUGGCAUCAAGUAACCAUACAUGAAGAGGAAAUUGCGCUGAUUUAGCAACUAUGCCGAUAAAUAAUAAAGAGGCACAUAGAGUAACAAAUAAAAAAUGGACCUCAUUAUUAUAAAUCAAAUAAUUAAAUAUUUCGAAUAAAUCUUAAAAUUCGUAACUUCCCGUUAUCCAAUAAAAACAUAAAAUUCCUAAUAAUAAACCAAAAUUGCCUAUCCGAUUAGUUACAAAUGCUUUUUCACAAGCGUUUGCCGUAGCGUGUCGUAUAAUCCAAAAUCCUAUUAAUAGAUAAGAACACAUUCCAACUAAUUCCCAAAAAAUAUAAAUUUGUAUCAAAUUCGAACAGACGUACACAACCAUACUAUUUGCCACAAGUAUUAGAAUCAAUUGAACAAUUAAAUUCUAAUUGAUAAGACAUAUAUAUCAAGCUAUCUAAUAUGAGUUCUAUAUUCAACAAAUCUGAAUAUUUAUAGUACAAAUAUCAAAGAAUAUUAAAAAAAUUAAAAAUAAUAUAGAACCCACAAACUUAAAAAACCAAAGCAAGGAAAAUUGUUUGAUUAACAAAAGAGUUUAGCAGCUCUUAAAUUGAAUUAAAGGACGUCUAGACCAAUAAGUACUUCAGAGGCUUUUGCACUGGCAAUAGUAGGGUUAAGCAUUCGGAUGCCUUUAAAGUAUGGUGGUGAGAGUGUUGAAGAGAAUGUGAGUAUUGGUCUUUGUUUGAUUAGUUGUUUUAUUUCUGCUACUAUGUAUUCAGUUAAGAAAAUUUUGCAAAGUUGCUUUUAUUAGCUUUGGUACUACAGUUUAUUAUAUGCUACAAGUUUUUGAGACUGGAAUGACUUGGAUUCUCCAUGGCCUUUUUCUGUAUUUGUUAAUGAUUGAGAAAAAAAAAAGUAAUUCGGAGGAUGAAAACUCUUAAUAAUGAUAGGUUGGUAUUGGCUUGAGCUUUUAACUUGUGGAACUAAAGUACAUCAGUUCGACUAUAUAUGUCCUCAUGUAAUUUGAAAAUGUUAAAAUUUUAUAUUUUUAAGUAGAAAUUUAGUGCGAUUUGUGCUGACAUGGAUAGUCAGGACGAAAUCAGAAAAGUUUUUAAGCGGGCGAAAUUAGAUUAUAAUUUUUAUCAUUUUAAUAGUUUGUAUCUUUUAUUGUACAUUUCUUUAUAGAACUAAUUAUGAAGUUCGUAAAUAUAACAAAUUUAAUUAAUCAAUAUGAGUUAUUAAAUUAAAUUAAUUAUUUUAUCAUGAGUUAUUAAAUUUAAGUAAUCAAUUUAUAAGUUUGUGAAGUUCUGAAUUCAUAGUAGAAUGUUUAAUUAGGGGUUUAUUGAAUUGAUAUCUUUAAUCCUAGUAAUUGAAGAUUAUUUUCAUUUAUUAAAACAUAAAAAAAAUUUGAUGUGGAAUUUAAUUAUCUUAUUGAAAUAAUAUUUUAAUAAGAUAAUUUUUAUUUAAUAAAUUAUAAUUAAUAUGUUUGCUUGUAUAAAAUAGUUAUAAUUUUACUUGAAAUUUUUGACAAUAUGCUAUUUCAGAGAACUAAUUUAAUAAAGAAUAUACUUCAUAACUAUGGUUGUUGCUUUUAUAAGUGGAAAAUUAUUAUAAAGGGUUAAAAUAAAAUAUUAAAAAUCGAUUUUACUAGAAAGUUGGUUGUUAUAGUGAAAUGUAUUUUUUUUUUGUAAAAUAAAAUAGCUUUAAGCGACAUUGUUAAGAAAACAAAUCAGUUCCUUUUACAACCAAUAUAAUUUGCUUGAACUAAAUCCCGUACUGAAUAAGAUGGUUCUUCAAACAGUUGGACCUCUGUGAAACUUGUAGCCGUAACUUUAACCAUAUGGUCAGCAACUGUAUUAUGAGCUUUUGGAAUAUGUCGUAUACAAAUCUUCCAACUUAAAUGUAUCAUUCAAUGAAUAGAGCAUAAUUACAACAUCUUAUUAUCAGUUGAACCCCAUGUGAUGGCCUGGGUUCAAGUCGUGCUAGUCGCGUUUGUUGUUCAAGCAUUACCUUAUCAUUAGCUCUCCACCCUACACGAGUGAACCGCUCCAAACCUCCACCGUCUUCUCUAUUUUGUUGAAAUUUUACAUCAAUAAUUGAUGUGUUGAGCAUCAACUCACUAUUUAGAUCUAGUAAAUAAAAUGCGACUCUUCCAACAAUUGAUCAAAAUUACUUGCGUUCACAUGAUAAAAUUUGAUCUAAAACAGGUUAGUCUCUACUAUUCAACAUACCCACUGUGUUAGUGUGGGUUGGUCUCUUGCCAAGCAGUGAACUCCACUAUAUUUCGAGCUAUUAUUAAUACAUACGUAUGUGUUAAAAGAAGGACCCUUCUCCAUAUUUGAGAGCUCUGCAUAUGAGAGAGCUCCAUCAUGUGUUAGUAUGGCUUUAUUGCUUGAAAACUCAUUGCUUCCAUGGAAGUAAAUUUCUUUUAACUGGAUUGCCUCGAAGUUUAUAUUUUGCUGAUUGAGUUUCAAAACAACACACUCUGGACACUAUAUUUAGAGUAUUUGAGCACACCACACACAAAUCUCUUUAAUUAUUCACAUAUCAAAAGUACAUGAUAUUUACAUGAUAAAAAUAAAAGUGCACAACACACAUUGGCUUCCAUGAAAGAAGCACAGUUUUAUUUAGUUUCGUACAUACACACACCCUGCCUGACUCAGAUCCUGUCGUGCCUUCCCCGUAGCAGUAGUUGCUUAAACGGAAGAGCUGAGUGAUUUGGUUUGAAAGUUGAGACUGUAGUAAUUAGAACCGGUGUAAGUGCCGCCUUGCACUUCAGAUAUGACAACGUUGCCAUUAUAAAGAGUGUCCUUUUGCAUGUACGUGAACGGAACAUCACAUGUACCAUUUAUUGCAGUCAGAUUCACUGCCACCUUAGUCAUCGGAGGCACAACAACUUUGUGUACAACAUCCAUCACAGAAGUCACUGUCUUGGUAUCUUGCCAUUCAAAUCCUGUCUGAAUUUCGCCAGAUAACUCAAUGCUCCCCUCAAAAAUUUUUGAAAGGCCGAAUUUCAUGGUAGCUUUUGUCCCUACCUUUAGUGAUACAUUAGCCUUCCAAGUACGAGUGUGGGUGUCUGUGUAAGAAAGUUUCAGGUCUAAAGAUUCGGAUUUCCGGGUAUAGUUACUAGCAGAAUUCAUCGCAAUCACAAGUUUGCUUUCGUCGUAUAUCCUGCAAUUAUCAAGAUCAUACUUGAUAUUAUAAAUUUUUCUUUCCAAAACAGGCACUUCCACUAGAAGCUGGACUUCCUUUGUAAUAGAGGAGACAUCUGCGUUAAGGCAAUUAGUCUUUCCCUCCUUACUAAGGCUCUUGCAGUAGUUAUUGUUGCCCAUAUUGCGAAGAGCUAUUGUCUGGUCGUUAACUUUGAAGGGUCGAAACAAGGUGUCCUUGUUGUUGCUGGUAGUGUCAUCAGAAUCCGCCCAAAUCCAAUUCGGACUCCGCCGCCAAAACUUAUUGGAACCAGCAGGCUUGAUGCGAAUGCUUCCAUCAUUAUUCAUGAAAACCUCCAUGGUCACACCCGCAUCACCAAUAUCACCAGAUGAAAAUUGCAAAUACGGAUGACCCUCGAUCUGACGAAGACAACUGAUACUGGCCAUUGUUUCCUUUGAAUGCCACAUGCCUUGGCAAAAACACGAGCGUUUCCCAAUCAAUGAUUGUGAACAUAUCACGGGAAUACUCAUCGAGGUGUUCGGACGUGAAGGUUGGGAGUUUCACGUAUUACCCAUAAAUAUUUUCUCGAUUGCACAUGCACAAUUUGGACUUCAUUUGCUGCAUCAUCUACAGAGAUAAGCUUGAACAAUGUGCAUGACUUCUUGGAUCGGUCUUCCUCCGGCUUCUUGGCGGUCGCGGUGAUUCUGGUUUCAUCGGAAACCAAAUAUUUGUUGUUCUGACUGCUCCUUAUGUGCACUAAGCCAUCUAUGCCACCGCGUUGAGCAAUCUCAACCUCAAAUUUUGCAUAUGGGCUCGCAACCCGAGUUUCAGAAAAUUUGAGAUACCCAUCUUUAUAAUCUCCCUUUUCAUGGUCAAAGCCCAAGUAUUUAUUAUUCUGAUGGGAUUUGAUCACGAUAAACCUUGGCGACGCAAAUGGCUUAUUCGCAAGCAACUCCCAGUCAAUGACAGUGAAGAGAUCACAGGAAUUACCAUCGAAAACUUUGUAGUUUGCCUGUUGGCACAUAAUUAAAUUAACCUUGCACAAAUAAAUUAUGAAAAGUUAGAAGAGUGAAGAGACUUGAAUAUAAAAAGUGAAAAAACUUGAAUAUGAAUAGUGAAGAGACUUGAAGAUGAAAAGUUAAGAGGCUUGAAUAUGAAAAGAUACACACAUGCAUGAAUAGUCACAACUCCUAGCAUAUAGUGAUAUAGAUGAAUAGUCACUUACAACUCCUAUAUAAAGAGUUGUAUGUGAUGAAGAAUUAUUAACUUUGUGUGCUUGAAAUAAAAGAUUAUUUGAAAGAAUUUUUUCAUACAAAAUUUAUUUCUCGUCUCCAUUAUAUUCUUUAUCAUUUUCUUUGUUUUAUUUCUCCAAAUAUUAAUCAUUCAACUACAUUGCCAACACACAGUUAUUAAACGUUGGAGAAUCUACCCACCAUAAGCAUAAAUAGCAACCUGACUGCACAUGCAUAAUUCGGAUCUUAUUUGUUGCAGUGUCCACCGGGAUAAGUUUGAACAACGUGCACGACUCCUCGGAUCGGCCUUCCACCGGCUUGUCGGCUGCUGCAGAAAUCCAAUACUGCUCUGUUGAGUUUCCAGUGAUGGAAACAUUUUUGACUCGUUUGCAGUAUUUUUUGUUGUGGCAGCUCUUUAUGUGCACCAACCCAUCUUCCCCACCGCAUUUGGCCCUUUCCACCUCAAAUUUUGUGUAUGGACUGAAAGCCAAAGUUUCCGAAAAUUUGAGAUACCCAUUACAAUCGUAACUCUCAUGCAUAUAGCUCAAAUAUUUGUUCCUCGCCUCACAUUUGAGCACCAUAAACCUUGGCGACGCAAAUGGCUUAUUCGCAAGCGACCAGUCGAUGACUGUGAAGAGAUCACAGGAAUUACCAUCGAAAACUUUGUAGUUUGCCAACACACAGUUAUUAAACGUUGGAGAAUCUACCCACCAUAAGCAUAAAUAGCAACCUGAUUGCACAUGCAUAAUUCGGAUCUUAUUUGUUGCAGUGUCCACUGGGCUAAGCUUGAACAACGUGCACGACUCCUCGGAUCGGCCUUCCUCCGGUUUGUCUGCUGCUGCAGAAAUCCAAUACUGCUCUUUUGAGUUUCCAGUGAUGGAAACAUUUUUGACUCGUUUGCAGUAUUUGUUGUUCUGGCAGCUCUUUAUGUGCACCAACCCAUCUUCCCCACUGCAUUUGGCCCUCUCCACCUCAAAUUUUGUGUAUGGACUGCAAGCCAAAGUUUCCGAAAAUCUGAGAUACCCAUGACAAUCGUAACUCUCAUGCAUAUAGCUCAAAUAUUUGUUCCUCGCCUCACAUUUAAGCACCAUAAACCUUGGCCAUGCAAUUGCCAUUUUCACUACACCUCUCUCUUUCUCUCUUUUUUAAUCUAAACUUGAGCUGAUUGAUGAGUCUCUACCAAUUAGCUUCUAUUUUGUUUCUUUCUUGCUUAUGCUUACCACAACCUUCUAGACCUCACAAUUUAUAACUAAAAUUUUGUUGCUAUAAUUUAUCACAUUCUUUCCCGCAUGUUCAAGCAAAGUACCAAAGGAGAGACCAAUAACAUCUUUUCAAAGUAAAAACUAUAAAGUAAAAGUGAAUUCUGGCAUAGCAAAGUAGUCAAGUAAAAACAAAUAAAAUAAUGUUUGUUCCUAAACUUGACAACUAGGUUGUUUUGGUUCUUAAAUUUGGAUUUGUUAAGAUUUGAUGAUGUGACUUGUGUUAUUAGAACAAGUUUAGGUUGGACAGAUUGAGAACUAUUGAAAUAAUGGUCCGAAAAAAGGGAUUGGACGAAUUAACUCGAAAACUACUUAAAAUUGAUUAAAAUAAAAAACCGAGACAAAAAGCAACAAUUGAACAAGUUGAAUUGAUUUAAUACUUUUUUAUUUUUUAAAAGUUUAUGAAUUUUUAAAUAAUUAAUUAUUGUUGGUCCAACAAUUGAAUCGAUUGAACUGACUGAAUCAAGAAUCAUUGAUUUGACCUAUUCAACCAUCAAUCUCGUUAUUAAAACAUUAAAUGUGAAUUCUAUGAAAUAACGAUGUAGAAUGCAAUCCAUAAACAUAAUAUUACAUCUAUGUUAUUGUGCUUUAAUUGAGAUAGUGUUGCUGAUUUUGGAGAGCAUAUAUCCGAGUGAUUACGUUUUGAUUGUUAUUGAUGUAAUAGCCAUUUUCAAGGAGUUAGUUUGUAUGCACUUUCACGCUAUGUUAGCAAGCUGAAAUUGAUAUAUGUUUUGUGGCUUAUCUAGGUUUUGUAAGAGAGCUUAUUGAGUACAUUCUAAUUUGUUCAUUGAUGAAUUAUUUUUUGUGAGAGAGUGCAGACUAUUAUUGUAAACAUUGUUGAAGUGUUUAUUACACAAGUUCUUUAGGUACAAAUGUGAGAUCUCUAUACUUGGGGAGUGAUAGAGUGUAAACCCCUUGUUGUAUUGAGCAUUAAAGAUAGUGAAAUCACUUGCUAAAUUAAGCUCUACAGACGUAAAGAAACCAAACUGGAUAAAUAAACAUUUGUGUUAUUUAAGUUUUUAUUUUCACAAUCAUAGUAACCGCUGCAAUAUAAUACUUCCAUUGUAAUUUUCAUUUUAAGCAAAUAGACUACUUAAGAUAGCAACAUACAAGUUAUAAUUGCUCAUAUUCUUCUCUAUUAAAUCUUCAAAAUGAUAAAUAAAUUGAAUUAAAUUGGUAAAAAUAAACUAAAAUAAUAACAAUUAAAGUAAAGUAAAUCAAGUAUUGAAAUAUUUUCUUUGAACUAAUAAAAAUGCUAUAUUUAUAACAUUAAUAAAAUGUUAAUAGGAAGGAAUUUAUGGAAUCCAACAUUUUCUUUCUUUAAUUUAUCCAUUUCUUUGGGCAUGAUUAAGAAAAGGACAAAAGGGGCAGACAACAUAAUUUAUUCACUAAAGAAAAAUGUAAUUACAAGACAUUACAUCUUUUUUAAAGUAAAAAUUACAUAUUCUCACUUGUAAACUAAGUUUAAGUGACUCCCAUGACAUAACUAAAGUAAUUCCGCAAGGAAAAUUGGUCGGUUAAAUUGAAGCAUUAAAAAUUUAAAUGUUGAAGAAUUCGUAUUCAAUUAGAUUAUUUAAAAUUAAGUACAAACUAUAAUUAGAUUUUUUUUAUAAAUAUAAUUUUUAAAUCAUUUAAAUGUAAAAUUAUUUAAAAAAAUAAUAUUGAAAAGAAAUAAAAUAAAAUAAAAAUAAUAAAAAAAUAUUCUACAUUCUUUAUCUAUUUAUAAUUUUUCACAAUUUAUAACUAAAAUUUUGUUUCUAUAAUUUAUCACAUUCUUUCCCGCAUGUUCAAGCAAAGUACCAAAGGAGAGACCAAUAAGAGAAUGCAAUCCAUAAACAUAACAUCUUUUCAAAGUAAAAACUAUAAAGUAAAAGUGAAUUCUGGCAUAGCAAAGUAGUCAAGUAAAAACAAAUUAAUAAAAUAAUUUUUGUUCCCUAAACUGGUAACUAGGUCUACUUUGUUUUUAAAUUUGGAUUUUGUCAAGAUUGGAUGAUGUGAUUUGUGUUAUUGGAACAAGUCUAUUUGAGAACUGAUUGAAAUGAUGGUCUGAAAAAAAGGGAUUGGACGAAUUAACUCGAAAACUACUUAAAAUUGAUUAAAAUAAAAAAUCGAGACAAAAAGCAACAAUUGAACAAGUUGAACUGAUUUAAUACUUUUUUUUUAUUUUUAAAAAGUUUAUGAAUUUUUAAAUAAAUAAAUAAUUAUUAUUGGUCCAGCAAUUGAAUCGAUCGAACUAUUGAAUCAGGAAUCAUUGAUUUGACCUGUUCAACCAUUGAUCCUGUCAUUAAAACACUAAAUGUGAGUUCUAUGUUAUUGUGCUUUGAUUGAGAGAGUGUUGCUGAUUUUGGAGAGCAUAUCUCCGAGUGAUUGUUCUUUGAUUGUUAUUGAUGUAAUAGUCAUUUUCAAGGAGUUAUUUUGUAUGCACUUAAACGCUAUGUUAGUAAUUAAGCUGAAAUUAAUAUAUGCUUUGCGGUUUAUCUAGGUUUUGUAAAAGAGCUUAUUAAGUACAUUCUAAUUUGUUCAUUGAUGAAUUGUUCUUGUGAGAGAGUGCAAACUAUUAUUGUAAACAUUAUUGAAGUGUUUCGUACACAAGUUCUUAGGGGAGGAUUUGGAGUUGAGUGUUAUCAUCUUUAGGUACAAAUCUGAGAUCUCUAUAUUUAGGAAGUGAUAGAGUGUGAAUCACUUGUUGUAUUGAGCAUUAAAGAUAGUGAAAUUACUCACUAAGUUAAGCUCCGCAGACGUAGAGAAACCGAACUGCAUAAAUAAACCUUUGUGUUCUUUGAGUUUUUGUUUUCACAAUCGUAGCGACAACUACAGUAUAGUAAUUUCAGUGUAAUUUUCAUUUUAAGCAAAUAGGAUAGCAACAUAUACAAGUUAUAAUUGCUGAUAUUCUUCUUGUAAAAAUCUAUCGAAUCUUCAAAAUAAUUGUUUAUAAUAUUAAUAAAUUGUUAAUAGGAAGGAAUUUAUGGAAUCCAACAUUUUCUUUCUUUAGUUUAUCCAUUUCUUUGGGCAUGAUUAGGCAAAGGACAAAAAGGGCAGAUAACAAAACUUAUUCACUAAAGAAAAAUGUAAUUCCAAGACAUUACAUCUUUUUUAAAGUAAAAAUGACAUAUUCUUACUUGUAAACUAAGUUUAAGUGAUUCACAUGACAUAACAAAAGUAAUUUCUCAAGGAAAAUUGGUUGGAUAAAUGAAAAAUUAAGUAUUAAAAAAUUAAAUGUUGAAAAAUUAGUAUUGAAUAUUAGAUUAUAAAAUCAGUUUGGUGUAUUAUUUAAAAUUAAGUACGAAAUAUAAUUAUAUUUUUUAUAAAUGUAAUUUUUAAAAUUUUAAAGUUAAAAGUAUUUAAAAAAUAAUAUUGAAAAGAAAUAAAAUAAUUUAAAAACAUUCUACAUGAUAAUAGCUCUUUAUCUAUUUAUAUUUUUUCAUGCUUUUUCAUUGAAAAAUUAAACCUGUUUUUUUAUUAUGGUUUAUCAUACAUGUAUAAAAAAUAAAAUCAAUCAAAAUAUUAAUUUUUUGUUGAUUUGAUUUUCAAAAGUUCUCAAAUAAUCCCUAAAUUAAAGUAAUUAAGUAAAAACAUAUCUAAAGUAGGGGUGUGCAAAAAAAUUUCUAAACCGAAAAAAUUGAAGUGAACUGAAUUGAGAAAAACGAACUUUUUCGAUUUAUUCGGUUUUUAUGUUCAGUUUAAUUGAUUUAUUUGGUUGGUUUUUAUUUUGACAUUUUUUUAAACCGAAUAAACCGAUUAAGGCCAUAACCCAUAAGACCAAAAGUCCAUAACCCAUUUACGUACCUAAAUUCAAAUUUAAAUUGAUCCAAAUACUCAUUAAAACUUAAUAUUCUUAAAAGCCUAAACCCAUUAAUAUUUAAAACCCAAUUUUUGUAUGAUGUUCAUUUUAAAAAUUUUUAUUUAAUAUAUAAAAAAACCCUAAAUUGAUAGGUACUGGUUAAGAAUAUAGUAGAAGACAUGGAAAUUGUAUGUUAGUCAUGUAAGAAAAUUAAUAUCUUUUAAUUCAUUAAAAUUAUUUGAUUUAAUUUUAAUAUUUUUAAUUCAAAUACUCAUUUACUCUUCCUAGAGCUCCAAUAAGUUGAAAGUCUACUUGUAAUUUUAAAAACUACAGAGCCAGAGUAUAUGGCACUUUCAAGGGUUGUUAAAGAGGUUGUUUGGCUUAUUGGAUUGUCAAAAGAUUUGGGAGUAUUUCAAAGUCACAUAAAUCUUUAUCGUGACAGUCAGUGUGCUAUUCACUUGACAAAAAUUGUGUUUGCCAUUCAAGAACUAAACACAUUGACAUAUCGCUUUGUGCGAGAAAUCUUUGAAAAAUGAAAUAUUUUACUUCAAAAGAUUGCAACAACUGAAACUCUUGCAAAUAUGAUUACCAAGGUGGUAACAAUAAUCACUAUUUAAACUUGAUUAAUAUCCUGCAUGUUUAAACACCUAUGGAUGAAUCACCUCUCAAGAGUACAUUUAGAGGCACUAUUAAAGAUGACUUCAUUAGAGAUGAGGAAGGGAAGACACUGAAAGUUUAGUGAAAUUAUAACUCGCCAAAGAUGGAGAUUUUUUGUGUUUGGUUGAUUUUACUAAGCCACCUCUUACCCUCUAUAUAAUAGGGGAGGGUAUAGGGGCAAAACCAAAAAUUACCUAAUGAUGGAAUUAAAUUGUAUAUUUUUACGAUAAUAAAAAGUUAUAAUUUCACCAUUUUAAUAGUCUAUAUAUUUAUAAUUUUUAUAGGAUUAAAUCUAAUUUUUAUCAAUUUGAGGGGUCAAAAUGUAAUUUUAUCAUUACUAAUUUAAAAUUUUAUAAAUUAUAAAGGAGCCUAAAUGAAAAAAAAAUUCAUUUUAGGAAGAACCGAGGCCAAUGGCAGAACUAAGGGGGGCUGGCAAGGGCCUUGACCCUCCUAAAAUGGAAAAUUUUCUAUUUAGGCCAUUUAUAAUUUAUAAAAUUUUAAAUUAGUAAUAAUAAAAUUACACUUUAGCCUCUCCAAAAUGAUAAAAAUUUGAUUUAAUUCUUUAAAAACAAUUUAAUUUCAACCGAAAAAAUUUUUCUAACUCCACCACAGUCGGGGCCCCAAUCAUCCCCUAGCUUCGCCAUUGAGAGGGAGUGAUAAAAUUUAAACUCGUGUCAUCAAGUAUCAAACAAAAGCUUUAAUCAUUGUUCCAAUUAAAUCUUAGCGAAAUUGACCAAACUAUUGUAAUCAAGGCAACAAAUCUUCGCCAUCGAAUAUUAACUCAAGAUUGGUCAUUAUAUAUUAUUUGACUUGCUUUAAUAUUCAUAGUUUGAAUUAAUAAGAUCUUAAGUUAAUAUAUUAUAAAAUUAUAGGUUGGUGUUUAGAAAUAUUAGAAUUUUGAAUUAAUCUUUCUGAAAAUCAUAAAAAUAUAAAUGAAAAAAAUAUAUAGAUUAAAAAUUUAUUUGCUGAAUGUUAUUGGUUUUUAUUGUGUCAACUAGUUUUGGAUUUAAUAUUUUUUAUUUUUAAAGGCAUGGCAGUAGCUGGCAUUGUUUGUAAUUGGCUUUCUAUUAAUAAAUUCUCUCCAUUCCUGAAAAGGGAAAAAAAAUUAUAAAUGUGAAUGAGACAAAAAAUGAUUGUUAAAUAGAUGAUUUAAACGAUUGUUAAAUAAAAUCAUUCAUUAAAUGAGUCUCUAGAAAGUAAAAUUGAUGAAUCUGAACUGUAUUAACAAAUAUAAUUUGUUGAUUUCUUUCCUUGCCUUACUCUCUUUUAUAAUUUGUUUGUUAAACUAUCUUGUUUCAACUUUUGUUUAAACAUCAGUUGGGACAUCGAAUUGAGAUAAGGAAAAAAUCAAAACUUUUUCAAUUGGUACCGGAAUAAAUUUCAAGAGAUGUUUGAAAGUGAUCCUAUGUUUAAUUUGCAACCAUGGAUACGAAUGUAGUUCAGUCUACUCAAUCCCCCUUACUUCUUGGUACAAAAAAUGAUUCAUAUUGAAAGGUUCAUAUGAGGACUUUCAUCACAUUCAUUAAUGAAGCAACUUAGGAAGUUAUUGAAGAUUGAUGUACUCGACCCUUUGUGACAAUUGCUAGUGGCACCACACGUCUUAAAAAAGAAACAAAUACGCUAUCGAAGAAAAAAAAAGCUACUCACGAAAAUUCACAAGCUCUAAAUGACAUUUUCAGUGGUGUUAACUUGGAUAAACUUAAAGUCAUUUCUAUGUGUGAAUUUGCUAAGGAUGAAUGAACAAUCAUACAAAAUCAACAUAAAGGAAAUGAUGCUAUGCGAACGCCAAAAUUUCAGAUUUUAACGAGCGUGUUUUAUCAAUCAUGCGUAGCUGCACUCUUCGAAAGCUGUUGAACUUUGACAAUUAGCUGGAUUAGAUUUUUCUAAUAUACUAUUUUAAGUCUGAUUGCUAUUUAAAGCUAUUUAAAACUAAACCUUGAAGCUGCGAAGCAACUAAAUUUAAAGAAAUUGCAGGCAAGUUUUAUGAAUUUUUAGAAUAUUUAAUAUUUAUUAUUAUAAUAUAUUUAACAUUUAUUAGUAUAAAAUAUAUUUUUUUUAUAAAAUUUUAGCAGACAAUUUUAUUACUAAAUUUUUUGUUUCUUCUCUGUAAUUCUUUCUUCCUUACCGUCGAAAUUCCAACAUACUCUAACGAUAUUUUUGUUAAGGGUCUUAUGGGUCAUUACUGAUCCAGCUUGGAGCCAAAGUUCGCUGAAGUUUUUGCGGUCUGUGAAGCUCUUUCUUGGUUGAAGGCUCUUUGUAUGGAUGGUAUCAUGAUUGAGAGCGACAACCUCCAAGCGAUUUUGAAGCGAGUUGAUGACGAUGUCUCUGGUUUCAAUGUUUAUUUCGGUUCUUGCAUCUGAUCAAUUCCAUAAUUUUUUCUUUUGUUGGACGCGACAGGAAGCAAGGCAGCUCAUAUGUUUAUGAGAGUAGCCUUAUCUUAUGAAAAUAGAAGAUGUUUGGAUCAAAGUGUAGAAGGUAAGUCGGUCGGCUUAAGACUUUGUUUUUAUCCUCUCUUUUUAUCAGUUCAUGUUCUUAAUUCCGCCUAAUGAAGUUAUUUCCCCAUAAAAAAAGAAUUUUAUUAUUAUUAUACAUAUAUAAUAAAAUUGAAACACAAAUCUAAACUGAACUAGAAUCAAGCUUUGGCAUGAUACCAAAUUAUUUAUUCAUUUAUUCUCAUAAUUGAAGUACAUGACAUAGUUAAUAAUAAGAUAAACAGACAAAUAACAGACAAAUAGUGCUUCUACUAUGAAGGAAACACCAAUUUAUUUAGUUUAAUUUAUAAAGUACGCCACACACAAAUCUUCAAGUUUCCAUGGAAUUGUGGGGUUUUUCUCAAUUCAAGAGGUGAGAGGUUCUUCUUUGGUAUCAUAUUGGAUAUUGUAGUAAUUAGCACCAGUGUAAGUGUUACCAAUGACAUCAGUUGUGACAACGUUCCCAUUAUAAAGAGUAUCUUUUUGAGUGAAUACGAAGGGAACAUCACACACGCCAUGGGACAUCAAUAGAUACACCGUCACCUUAGUCAUCGGUGGCACUUGAACUUGGUGGUUAACUUCCAUCAUGGUGACUGUCGUCUUGGUCUCUCCCCACUCGAUUCCUGUUUCGUAUUUGGAAGAUAUUUCGACUCCCGCUUUACCGAUUAAUGGAACCCCUACUUGGAAGGUGGCUUUGGUUUCAAGGCCUAACGUAAAAUAAGCUAGCCAAGUACUGGAACUGGUCUCUGUAUAAGAAAGUUUCACAUCGAGUGUGCUGGCUUGAGUGGUACGGUUAAUGGCAGAAUUAUUCGCCACAACACGGACUAUUUCGUUAUAGACUCGAGCAUUUUCAAUAUCGUAUCGGAGAUUAUAAAUCUGCCUUGACAACACAGGCUCUUGAACCAUUAAGAAGGCUUCUCUUGUUAUAGAAGGGACGGCUGCAUUAAGGCAAUUCGUCUUUCCCUCGGUCGUGAGGCGCUUGCAGAAAUUAUUGUUGCCCAAGUUGAGCAGAGCUAUGGUCUUGCUGUCGACUUUGAAGGCACUAAACAAAGUGUCCUUAUUGGUUCCUUCAGUGUCAUUAGAAUCCGCCCAAAUCCAAUUCGGGCUACGCCUCCAGAACCGAUCGGAAGAAAGCGGCUUGACCCGGAUGUCUCCAUUCUUCAUAUAAAAAACUUCCAUUGGCACAGAUCCAGCACCGACAUCCGCACCCGAGAAUUCUAAAUAUGGGUGACCCUCGACCUGGGUAAGACGAAGGAACAUAUCAUUGUUUCCUUUGAAAGCAACGUACCGGGGCAGAAUCACCAACGACUCCCAAUCAAUAACUUCGAAGAUAUCAUCGCCAUUAGCCGCAAAAUGAUUCUUGUUUGCCAACACUCCACGACCGAGUUCCGAUGUAGCCAAUGGCCAUAAGUAUAAAUAGCAUCCAGAUUGAACAUGGACAAAUCGACAAUUUUCAUAUACAGGGUCUUCAAAGAUAGGCUUGAACAAUGUGCAUGACUCCUUGGAUUGGUCUUCUUCCGGCUUAUCGGCGGUUAUAGUAAUCCAAUACUCCUCAUUUGGUUUUCCGGUGAUGGAAGGAUUAUGAGUUCGCUUCAAGUACUUGUUGGUGGUAGAGCUCCUUAUGUGCACCAGCCCAUCUUUAGCAAACUCCACUUCGAAUUUUGCAUUUGCGCUCACGACCUUUGUUUCGGUGAACUCGGCGUACCCCUUGUACUCUCCGUUGUCUUGUUUGGAGCCAAGGUAUGUUUCGGCGCCGGGGGAUUUGAGCACGAUGAACCUUGGCAAUGACAUUUUGAAUAACAAAGUAACUUUCUCAAUCUUGUGCUUAUGCUUUGGUAUACAUUAAGCCUCAAUGGCUCAGCUUUUUAUAGAUAAAACUUAAUUGCUCUUACCACGUUUUUGUAAGUCCAUUCCAACUAAUUAAUUAAUAUUUUAAUUUGUGUGAUUAUGCCUCUUUGCUAAGACAUGUUUUUAAUGUGUACCAAAAACAUUAACCAUUAUUCAAUUACUAUUUUAGAACCAUAUUUUUUUUAAAAUUUUAGAAAUGCAAUAAAACUUUAUUUCAAUAUAUAUAUAAUAUAUGUUAAAUUAAUAUGAAUGCUUAAAUGCUUUGAAAUUUAUAAUAUAUGAAUUAAUAAUGUAUUAAAAACUUAUUUAAAUAUAAAAAUAUUCUAAAUUGGAUUAUAUUAUGAAAUAUAUGAUGGAUUACACAAAUUAACAAGUUUUGAGAGGUAUAAUUUUUACUCAACUUCUUGUUGUUAUUAUAAACAUCGAUAAUGGCAGUAGAACAAUUGCAAAGUAAUAAGAAAAGAAAAAUAAGAACACCCUGAUUUUACAUAGAAAUUUUUUUGGGGAAAAAUCACGGCUAAAGAAGAAGAAAUUCACUAAUGGUGAAAAUCAAAUAAGGAGUUUCGACUACAUAUAUUUAAGGGUUGAAAAACCUUAUUCUAAUCAAAAUUAAAUAGAAGUAUAAUUGUAUACAGAUUUAACUUGUGCGGUAUGGCCCAUACCGCGAGAAUCCCUCGGUCCUUCAUUUCCACAACCCUUGGGGAUUCAGAUUACACAAUCUUUUAACACUUUUUUUUGUAGUCCAUUCAAAAAGUGAAAUUAUUAUUUAAUAUUUUAAUAGUGGUUUUUUAAAUUUUACAAGUGAAAUUAAAAAAAAUUAUCAUGCCUUUUAUUUAUUUUUUAGUUUUUAAAAUAUUUUUUUAGAAUAAAUAAUAAUUUGGCAAAUAAUUAAAAUUGAAAAGGACAGGGAAAGAAAAAAAUUCAAAGUUGAAACAGUGUAUUCCACGUGGGGUUUCUCCAUCAAUCAAUGACUCGCGAUUGCUUUUACUUUGGGAUAAACUAACUUUUAAUCUUUGAAUUUCAUAUUUUUUUAAAUUUAGUCCUUAACUUUUUUGGUUUACUUUAGUUUUAGAAUUUGAUAAAUUUUUUUAAUUUUAGGUCAUGUGAUGACAUUAUAAUAUGAUAUUGUACUAUGUUAUCACUUAAAAAAUAUAUUUUUCUUUCUGUUUUAGGAAUUUUUAUUUGUUCUUGUAACACGUUUUUUUAGUCUUGUUUAUACAAGUAACCUUAGUUUUACAAGUGAUUUUAUGAAUGAUCUUGUUGUCGUCCUCUCUAAUUUGGUUAAUGCUCUAAUCUUUUUUCGAUUUUUACUCGCCGCUUUGGAUCAUCCAUCGUUGAUUUUUUUAUCGCAUUAAGUGCUUGCAAUCACUCUAUAUAUGUCGUGCUUGAUUUGUGAUAAAGCCAAUUGUCAACAGGUCGGGUCAUGAUACUGAGACUAAAGUCUUUGUUGUGUUAUUUAAGCUUGUCUUUCACUAUCUAUGAUGGGUGUUUGUUAUUUUUUUCUCUAAAUUAUAUGAUUCCCUUUAUUAAUUAAUAAACUUACCUUUAAAUAUAUAUGCUUUUCUAUAAAAAUUAGAUAAUAACAUCACUCCAUUUUAGAAUACAAAAUCACGGAUCAAAUUUGUGAAAUUCUAGUAUUAAUGUAGACAACAACAAAAAAUCAGAGAUUAGGUUGAGAUAUUAUUUAAUUUGCUGGCAGGUAAUUUGUAGGAGGCAGAAAGAAAAAUCAAAAUAGAAACAGUGAGUAUUCCGCGAGAGUGAUCAGUGACGAUUUGGAUUAGAUCUCAAUUAAAACGCCUAUAUUACAUUUCACGUGUUGUGUAAAAAUAAUACUUUAAUCAUGUUUUUCGAAUUAGAUCGAUAGUUAAAUAAAUUAAAUUAUCGGUUCAUUUGAUAUGUUCGGAUUUUCGAUUCAUUAUCAAUUUUUAGAAAAGAAACGCCAAAUGGAAACAGUGAGUAUCGAGUGAUCAAUGAUGCGUUUUUCCAACUGCUUUUGCUUUUCCUGAGUGAUCAUCUUGCUGCUUUCACCUACUUUUCUACCAUAUUUCUCUUCUGCUUUACCCAAACUCUGUUGAAUCUCACCUUCUUUCAUGCAUUCUUCUGUUUUUGAUACCGACACUGCCUCGAGAUUAUUACGUAGAAAUUUUUUUUGGGAAAAACCACCGCUAGAGAAAUUGAAUAAUACAAAAAAAGUUUCGACUACAUGUAAGGGUUAAAAAAAUCUUAUUCUAAUUAAAAUCUAUUAGAAGAAAUAUAAUUUUACAUGGAUUUAAUUUAUAUGGUAUGGUUCAAAUUGCUGGGACUCAACCCUCGAUCCUUCACCUUCUCAAUUGUUGGGGAUUCAAAUCACACAAUCUUUAAUAUUUUUCUUUUUUAACAUUAAUAUUAGUAGUUUUUUUUUCUACUCUAAAUUAUUCAAGUAAUUAAUGAAAAAAAUGUAAUGCUUUUAAAAAUGGAUUGAUGAUUCAACUAGUUAAAUGGUAAGUUUAAUCAAUUCAACUUAUAUUUUUUUAAUUUAAAUUUAAUUAAAAUAUUAUAGAAUUAUAAAAUUCGAUUUAACUAAUUUUUAAAAUUAAUUUAAUCGGUCGACGUACGUCAUAAAUUAACUGGUUUUUUUUGUUUUUUUGGAUCAAUUUUUUAUUUUACCGAUUUAGUUUUGAAAAUACUUUGGUAAACAUUUUAGACAGAUGGAAUGGCAUCUGUUCUAAGGAGAAAGAAUUAAUGUACGAAACAAGGAUAUUAUCCAUUUCUAAUAGUUUUAUGCCACAUCAGUAUUCUUAUCUUAAAUUUGAGAAUUUUAAUUUGGAUUUUAUUUUUUUAGGAUGAAAAUGCUGAAAUUCAAGAUGAAAAUGCUAAUGUGACAUGAGACUAUUAAAAAAAGAAUACAAAUGACAUGGCGUUACUGUUUUAUACCAUCUUUUUCUAUUUUCUAAGUUGAGUGUUUUGAUUGAUGAGUGUUACGUACAAAUGAUGUUUGUAUUUGCGUUUGUACAAGUGUUACUUUUUUCUUUUUCUUUUUUUUUUUUGUUCAGUGUACAAGUGUUACUUGAACUAAGAAAUGUUUGCAUGAAUGAAAUUUGAAAAGUUUUGUUUUUUAUGGCCAGAAAAAAGACAAACAUGUUUUAUAGUUUAUCUUAAAAAACCAUCAAACAAUUGAAGAAAAGCAUACCACACGCCCAGCAUCAUCAGUAAAUAAAUAUAAAAAAAUAUUGGUAAAAAGAUGCAUAUUGAGUAAAUUAAUUAUUAAUUAUUAAAUAUUAAAUAUUAAAAUAAUAUAGUAUAAAUAUUUUUAAAAAAUUUUAAAAAUUAAUAGGACGAGUCUAAAAUGGACUUGGAUUAGUCUUUAGCAAAUAUAGAUGGGUUCGAGUAAAAUUUUAAGUUUAUAUUUCGAGUUGAACUAAACUUGAACAAAUAUGAAGUAUAAUAAUAUCAUACUUACACUCAACUUAAUCUAACCCAUGAACGCAUUUAACCGUGUGCUAUAUUUUUCUUGAAUUGUUUGAUGGUUUUUGUAAAAUAAAUUAUAAAAUAUGUUUGUUCUUUUUCUAUAUAUCUUCAGUUUUCAGUCGCGCAAACAUUUCAUAAUACAAGUAACACUUGUACAAACACAAACACAAUCAACACUUCCUAGUCUCACACAUACACGUAACACUCAUCAAUCAACCACCCAACUUAGAGCAGAUGGCAUUCCAUCAGUAUAAAAUGUUCAUCAAAGAGGAUACUUUUCGAUAUUUUCAAAAUUAAAUCAAUAAAAUUGAGAAUUAAUAAAAGUAUUAAUUUGACAAGAUAAAAAAUUUAUUUUAACCUAUAAUGUGGGAAUCAAUACAAAUUAAUAAAUCGUUUUUAAAAUUAAUUAAAUUAUGUUUUAUAGUUUUAUAAUAUUUUUAAUUAAAUUUGAAUUAAAUAAAUAAAUCGAAUUGAUUGAGUCUAUAAUUUGAUUAGUUCAAUUAUUGAUCUGUUUCGAAAAACAAUACAUUUUUGUCUUUAAUGACUUGAAUAAUUUAGAGUAAAUAACAAGGAAAUGGAAUAGAACAAAAUUGAAUAAAAAUUAUACCUCUCAAAACUUGUUCCAUCAUAUAUUUCAUAAUAUAAUAAUAUAUAAUCCGAUUUACAAUAUUUUUUAUAUUUAAAUAAGUUUUAAUACUUUAUCAAUUCGUAUAUUAUAGAAUUUCAAAGCAUUUAAGCAUUCAUAUUUAUUUAACAUAUAUUAUAUUUUUUUAAAUAAAGUUUGAUUGCAUUUCUUAAUUAAAUAAAAAUUUUAAAAUAAUAAUUGAAUCAUCGUUAAAGAUUGGAUGUAUUAGGAUUAAGUAGACCCCCAUAGAGGUCAACACAUAUCCUAUUAUAGGGUCGACACGUGUUUCCUGAACAGGAGUUCUCCUGCAUGGUGAUGUUAAGCCAUGCAGGCAAACUAUAUAUCAAUGAGCUAUACUUUGCUAGCCGGGUUGUGGGUUGGUAUGCGAACCGGCUCGAUUUGAUAAUUAAGUAGAGGUGAAUACCAUAACAAUUUGUCUCCUACUUGGUCGAAGAAGAAUUACAAAAUGACCCUUUUGAGGUCUGGUAUGUGCGUGACAUGGGGACUUUGAAUGAAGCUUGUUAGGUACACCUCUUGUAUAAAACUUGUCGAUUACGCUUUGCCGCUCAAUAGCUCGCUGAUAUAUAGUUCAUCUGCAUGGGUUUGUACCACCAUACAAGUGAAUUUAUAUUAAAAAAAUACGUGUUGAUCUUAUAAUAGGAUACGUAUUAACCUGUAUGGGGUCUACUUAAUAUUAAUAUGUCAAAUUAUGAAACUAUGACAUAUAAAUAAUAAAUUGGCUUUAAGAAUAGGACACACAGAAACACUAGUAUAAACGUUAGAAUCGUUCAAUAUCCCAUUGAAUAUUCAUGGUUCACCUACAUUUCAAUCAUUUGGGAGAUACCAAAUAAUGUACCAUUUACUUUUUUAUAAUUUGGAUCACACAAUAAUGAAAUUUAUUGAAAUAUUAAAUGAUAGAAGAAAAUCAUAUCCAUUAUAUUAGUCAAUGGAUGAUUGCAAGGGAGUCUCUCGUUGUGAAUUUGACAUGGCAAUUACAAUGACAGAUAGGCAUACACCGUGGAAAAAAAGUUUAGGUUAAAAUAUGUCAUAAGUUAUUAUACUUGUCAUGUAUUUGGAAUUUAGUCCAUAUUAGUUAAUGGAUGGUUGUAAGGGAAUAUUUCAAAUUUCAAAUUUCGAAAUUCAAGUCCAAUUGUUAAUAAUUUUGUUUCGCUAAUUUUCUUUGUGUGACAUUUCAAAAUAUCAAAAAUACUCAUUUAGAAGCAAUGUAUUUAAUUAAAAUAAUCUAAACAGAGUUAACUGUAGCGACGUAAAAAUUUUAGUUUCGCUUGGUCGCUAAUUGUGGCGAUUUAUUAAAAAAGUUUAAAAUUUGACAUUUGAUUUUUUUUGAAAUAAACAGGGAGUCGCCACCGAUCCUCUUUCCUAGGUGUGAUCGUACACCUAUUAGAUCUCUUAUCAAAACAAAUAAAAGGCUAAGUUUAGGUCUACGUUAAAAUCCAGAGAAAACUUAGGGUUCGGGAGUCGGUUACGAGCGAGGAAGGUAUUAGCACCCUCGCGACGCCCAAAAUUGGUAUCUUAUAAACAAGUGUUGUCUUAAUUUUCAAAAUUGCGAGUUCAAAGUAACAUUGAAUCGUGACCGAGUAAAACACGAGAAAUUUCAAGCUUCGUUUUCUUUUGAGAAGGAUAUACCGUUUUAACACGAGUCGAUUGAUAUCCACCCAACAUAGCGAUGAAAUCGAUGACAUAGUGUUUAAAUCGGUACGUUGCCUUGCUUAUUGAAAUAAAAACACGAAUAUGUUCGAAACAAUGUAAAGCAAAUUAAUAAAUAAAAAUAAAUAAAAGACAAAUCUAGAGGUACAUUGAAGCAAUAUAAAUGUGACGAUAAUAUUAUAAACAAUAAAGACAUAUAUGAUACUAGAAUUAAAUAUGAAAUGGAAAUAAUGAAUGUAGACACAUGAUAUUAAGAGUAUGUAUGUAAACUAUACAUAAUGUUUGAUAGUAAAAAUAUAACUAAUAAUGUUAAAAUAUAUACUUAAUAUAUACCUAUAUACAUAUGAAAAAUGUGUGCACAUGCCGUAUAUGAAAAAUAUAUACAUAGUAAUAUAAAAUAAUAAGUGAUAAUAGUGAAAAUAAUGGGUAUAAUAAUUAUAAUGAUAUACGAAAAUAAUACUAUAUAUAAAAUAUGUAUACAAGUAUAAUAAAAUAUAUGUCUUGAUGUUAAUAACAAACAUAGUAGGAAUAAAAUAAAUGUAAUAAUGAUAUAUACACAAUAUGGUAUUAAGAAUAUAUAUAUAUACAAUAUAGUAUUUAAAAAAAUAUAUACAUAAGAUGGUGUAAAAAUAUGUACAUGGAAAUGUAUAAGAAAUAUAUAUAUAAUUAGUAAUAUUAAAAAUAUAUAUAACAUAUAUAAAACAUAUACAAUACAUACAUACCUUAGAAAUGAUAAUAAUAACAAGAAAACUAUUUUGUACACUAUACACAUACUUAUACACAUAUAUAUAUAUAUAAAUAAUAGUAUUAGCAAUAUACAAUAUAAUAUUAGAAAUAUACGUAUAAUAGUAUAAGAACUAUAUAUAACUAGUAAUAUUAAAAUACAUAUAAUAAUAUAUAUAAAAUAUAAUAUUAAAAAUUUAUUUACAUAACAUAUAUGAAAAACAUAUAUAAUAUAAUAUUAAAACAUUUACAUGAUAUACACAUAUGGUUUCAAGGUUAAAUACAUAUUAAAAAAAAUAAUAAUAUUACAUAAAUAUAUACUUAUAUAUAUUAAAGCUAUGUACAUAUAUAGUAAAAUGCAUGGACAAUACAACAUUCAACAUAUACAUAAUAUAUAAUAAAAUGAUAAUAUACAUACUAUAUAAAUUACAUAUAUAACAAAACAUGUACUACGAUGAUAAUAAUAAUAAUAAGGAUAAUAAUAAUAUUGAUAUAUAAAGACAAAUAUAGCAUUAAAACAUUAAAAUAAAAUAAUUAAAAGACUAAAUACAAAUGCAUACAUACACAUGCAUAUAUAAAUAAUUAUACAUUAAGACAUGCAAUAAACACAUUUAAUUAUAUAAAUAUUAAAAUCAAUAAAUAACAUAAAAUGAAAGCGGGUAAAUUGAAAAUAAAACAAUAAAUUGACAAAGAGGACUGAAUUGAACAUAAAACACCAUUUUGGGGCAAAAUUUAAAAAUAAGUAAACAGGGAAGGACUUAUUAGAACACGCGAGGAACGUGAAAGGACCAAAAAAGCAAUAUUACCUUAUCCUCAAAACGCAACGUGGCAGUAAGGACUAAAUUGAAAAAACGUGUAAGAUUCCAGGGCCGAAUUAAAAUAACAAAAAACUCAAUUGCAAGAUGUUUUAAAAGCGGAGGGGUUAAACGCGCAAAUAACCCCUCUCUGAAAAAACACGCGGAUCCUGUUGGAGCGGGUCGGGUCGACCCGACCCGUGUUCAAAACGACGUUGUUUUAUUAUUAAACAGGGGGGACCAAAACGGUGCGUUUUGGUCCCUUAUAAAAGUUAAAAAAUUUUAAAAAAAUUCAUUUGAGACUUGGGGCGGAAAAAAAAAAGAGAGAAAAAAGGGAGAGGGAGGGCCCGGAGCGAUUUCCGGACAGAGGGGAGGGUGUCGGUCCGAUCGCCGGACCGUCGCCGGCGCCGGCCAACGCACGCGGUGGCCGGAAAGGUAAAUUUUUUUUUGUUUAUUAUAUGUUAUUUAUUUAUUUUAUUAGUUUAUUAGAUUUUUAUGUGUAUAGGAGAUAAAAUUAAUUUUAAAAUGAAAUAAAAAUGAAAAAGAAAUAACCUUUAGUUUUUAACUUCUGAUUCUUCGAUCUUUGCUAUUUUCUUGCUUAAUCUGAUGCUAUUCUUGUAUAUGGAUAUAGGCAGAAUCCAGGGUUCAAUAUUUCUUUUUCUGUUUCUUUUUCUAAAGGGGACCCCUUUACAGUUUUUUUAUUUGGGUUUUUAUAACCCUUUUUCGCCUAUUUUUUAUUGCUUCUGUCUUGUCUGAUUGCAGGGAAUGGGCAUGGACGGUGGAGUGUGUGAUGGCUCAGCAUGCGCGGGGUGGCCGACAAGGUGGAGCAGUGUCAGACGCUUGGGGGCGUGGUGGCCAAGGGCAGAGGGGCGUACGGCGCUAGUAGGGGGCAAGUGGGGGGUUUGGUUGAUUAGGGUUUCUGUUUGGGUUUGGGGUUGUAAGUGGGCUAGGUUUAGGUUAGUGGGUCCGAUGGGUUUGGAAUUUAAAAAUGGGCAAAUGGGUAAUUGGAUUUAGCUGAAUGUGAUUGGGCUUUGUGGAUUAGUUUAGGUUUGUAAUCGGCCCAAAAUUGGCCUGUAACAUUAACAAUUGAAGUUGAAUUUUGAAAUUUAAAAAAUAUAGAUUAAAUUCCUAGAAAUAAAAAUACAAAGACUAAAUUUCAAAUUUGAAAAGAGUAUAGAAACCUAUGAUAUAAUUUAACCAAAAGAUUACAAUGCGGAGAAAGAGGUCGAUUCUAGACGUAAUAUAGACAAAUAUGAUGUAAUACCCUACACCUAGCCUAAACAUGAUGUAACACCCUACACCUGGCCUAAACGUUAUGGCCGAAUCUUGAGGAAUUACAAUAACUUAUUAAAAAGUUGAAAUCAUAUUCUUGUAGUAAAACAAUGUUAUCUUUGAUAAAUUGUUUUUUUUUCCAGUUUUAGGGAAAAUUUUUGUUAAAACCAUUUAUUUUCAGAUUAAAUGAACACUUCAUUUUGCAGCGGAGUUUUCUAAGUUAUAAAGUUUUUAAAAUCGUGGUUUGAUUUGUAAACAAAUAGUUUUGCAUAUAGAAAUAUUGUUGGGGAUUUAGGCACACUUUAUCUAGACGAAGUAUGAACUUCAGCCUGAACUUAAACAACAAUGUAAUAUAUUUGGAUGAAGAAUGAAGAAAUAAGAGCUGAGUCUUGAGCAAUAAGGCUCGUAGCUUGUGGAAGAAACAAACAGAUUUUGCAAAGGAAAACAAGAACAGAAAUGAAAGCAAAAAAUGGAGCAUAAAUUGAAUGAAAUUCAAUAUUUUUCAUUAAGAAGAAACAUUGGCAUAUAGCCAUUAUAUAUAUCAGUCAUUGAUUGAUCAAAACAAGACAAACAUCACCUAAUGCUUACCUAAUACCACUAGUUACAUGGAACACAUAAACAAAGCUGAUUUGUCAGCUCAAUCACCACCUAAUUACAUCAAUCAUGAAUCUAACAUAGUUCUAAAUGAACUAGAAUUCAUUACACCAACUAAGGUAACAAAACAAAACAAAAUGGAACUAGAUGGUAGUAACUGCACUCGAUCUUACUGCUCCUCGAUGGCUUGGUGUGCAUAGCCAUCCUCUUGAUGCUGCAUGCUGACCAAUCUUCAACACUCCUCCUUGGUUAGCAUGUUGCAUACUCCCAUUUGCUUUCUUAGUUUGAUAAACCUUGACACUCUAAGGGCUUUUGUGAAGAUAUCAGCAACCUGUUCCUCUGAAUUGCAAUAAAUCAACUCCACCUCUCGAGCUUGUUCUAUCUCCCUUACCACAUGUAGCUUGAUGCUAAAAUGUUUGGUUCUACCAUGGAAGACAUGAUUCUUUGCAAUUGCAACAGCAAGCAUGUUAUCACAAUAGAUCUCUGUUGCUUCCCUUUGAUGUAGGUUUAGAUCAGCAAGGAUUUUCCUUAGCCAAAUGGCUUGGUUGACUGCUCCAGCAACAGUCACAUAUUUAGCUUCUGCUGUUGAUUGAGGCACCACAUUUUGCUUCUUCGAACUCCAGCAAAACAUUGCUGAACCAAGUGUAAAUGCAUAACCUGAAGUGCUUUUCAUGUCAUCCUUUGUACCAGCCCAGUCACUGUCAGUGUAGCCUAACAGCUUCAGAUCUUCACUUCUGCUAAAUUGUAAUCCAUAGCUCAAGGUGCCUUUGAUAUACCUGAGCACUCUUUUUACUGCUCGAAAAUGCUCUUCAUUACAACAGUGCAUGAACCUUGAGAGCAAACUUACAGCAAACAUGAUAUCUGGUCUGGUUGCUGUCAAAUACAAUAAGCAGCCAACUAAACUCCUAUAGGCAGGCUCACUGACCUGUUCAUGAUCUCCUUGACUCGAUAGAUUCAUUCCAACAGCCAUAGGUGUGCUUGUUGGCUUGCAAUUCUCCAUAGAGAAUUUGCUUAGAAUUUUUGCAGCAAAUGUCUUCUGUCCCAAUAAGAUUCCACUGUAAGUUUGUUACACCUCCAUUCCAAGAAAGUAAGUCAUUUGCCCUAAAUCUGACAUUUCAAACAUGUCUUUCAUUUUGGCCUUGAAAUCAGCCAGUAUGUUCUGGUCUUCUCCUGUCACUAAGAGGUCAUCAACAUAAAGGGACACAAUGAGCUGUGUUUCAACUUGUUCUUUUUUGACAUAGAGUGUUGGCUCACUCAUGCUUCUUUGAAAUCCCAAGCUGAGCAGGUAGCCAUCGAUUCUGCUAUACCAGGCCUUUGGUGCCUGUUUUAAGCCAUACAAGGUUUUCUUGAGCCUGUAGACCAUGUCUUCCUUAUCUAUCACUAUGAAGCCUUGAGGUUACUCAACAUAGAUCUCUUCUUCAAGAAAGCCAUUAAAAAAAGUAGACUUCACAUCAAGCUGGUGGAUUUUCCACUCCAUCUGAGCUGCUAAGGCAACUAAUAGCCUAAAUAUGGUGUCUAACCUGGCUACUGGUGCAAAGGUUUCCAAAUAGUCCAGGCCAUACUUUUGGCUAAAACCCUUUACAACUAGCCUGGCCUUCAACUUGUUCAAGCUGCCAUCUGUAUUGUGUUUGGCUCGAUAGACCCAUUUCACUCCAAUGACCUUCCUGUUGGUUGGUCUUUCAACUAAUUCCCACGUUUGGUUCUUUUCAAUCAUGAUCAUCUCAUCAACCAUUGCUUGUUUCCAACCUUAAUGUGCUUCAGCAUCUUCAAAGCAGCUUGGUUCUUCUUGUGCAACAUGAGCCCUCUCAUAAAUCUCAGCCAAGGUCCUUGUAACCCUGACUGGUUCAUCAUCAAUAUCCAUAUCAGGAACAUUUUGAUCAGAUUCAAGCUGAUCUGCCAUGAGUUCUUCAGAAAUAUCCUCAGGUUCAUUUGUUUCCCAGUUCCAACAUACCUUUUCAUCAAAGAUCACAUCUCUACUUACAUGGACUUUGUUUGUUGAAGGAUCUAGGAUCCUAUAGCCUUUCUUGACCAUGCUGUAUCCCACUAAAAUGCCAGCUUGAGAAUUUUUGGACAGUUUGUCCCUUUUUACACCUGGUAUAAGGGUGUAGCAUAGGCAACCAAACACUUUUAGAUGAGCCAAAGAUGGCUUGAACCCGAACCAGGCCUCAAAUGGAGUUUUGUAAAUCAAGGCUUUAGUUGGAAGCCUGUUUUGAAGGUACACAGCAGUGUUGACUACUUCAGCCCACAUAGUCUUGGGCAAAUUCUUUUGAAAUAGGAGACAUCUAGCCAUAUCCAUCAGACUUCUAUUUUUCCUUUCACUCAUCCCAUUCUGCUGAGGUGUAUAAACAUUGGUGAACUAAUGUUUGACACUAGCAUCAUUGCAAAGAGCUUGGAACUGAGCUGAGGUACACUCUGCUCCAUUAUCUGACCUGAUGGUCUUCAAUUUGCAGCCUGUUUCUGUUUCAGCUGUAGCUUUAAACUUCAAGAAUACUUGAGCUACCUCAGACUUGUGCUUCAAAAAGAAAAUCCAACAAUAUAUGGUACUAUCAUUAAUGAAAAGAAUGAAAUACCUAUUGCCAUUGAGUGAUUCAAUUUUCAUGGGGCCACAUACAUCAGUGUGCACUAGUUCCAACUUGUUUGAUGCUCUCCAAGUUGUGUUUGCAAGAAAUGGGAGUCUGGCUUGCUUUCCCAUCUGACAGACUUCACAAACAUCUUCAUUUUGAACUGACUUGGUAAAGUUUUCAACCAUCUCCUUACUGACUGUAAUAGCCUAAAUUUGACCGGGCUUUAAAACCAAAAAAAUAAAUAAAAAUUUAUUUAAUAGUCCAUUAAAAGUCCAGGUUACAAAGCCCAAACAGUGAGGCCCAAUGUCUAAACAUAACAGACCGAUCCAAACCCCACAUCGGGCCCAAAUUCUAAAACACGUCACAACCAAUACCCGUGUAACCCAAAUACACCCGAAGCCCAACACAUACACCAACCCAAAUUCAAUCGUGGCCCAAAUCUUAGCAGGCCCAAUAAGCCCCAAACACAUGGACUCCAAAUCAGAAGCUAGGGUUUCCAGCAAACCCUAGCGCCGCAAGCACCCAUCGUCAAGCCCUUGCGUCGCAACCCAACAUCCAGUCAAUGCCCGAUCGGUGCCGUAAUCCUCGGAAGUACCUGUAAAAAAGGAAAGAAGAACGACAGAGCAUGGCAGAAAUAGCAAGAAAUUGAAAGAAAAUACUUACCUAAUCUGUAACUCUAAAAACAAUGGCUAUAAAAAACUCCUUUGAAACCUUUGUAACGAUACGCAUACAGGAACUGAAAAAAAGAGCAAAUACAAACAGUUUUUUUCGAAAAGGUGAAUCUUCUAUUUUAUUUUUUAUUUUUCAUGUUCAAAGCAUAUACAUACACAAACAGUUUGAUAAAUAGCUCUAAAACGCGAAAAAGGGUUUUACCUUUCAUUUUUGUGACAAAAAUCGAGGUCUCUAACCUCCAAGGGUCACACACGACGGCGUUUAGGACGACGGGUGGGCGCGUAAGGCGCGUGAACCACCUGAUGAUGGAGGUUUGGCCAGAGUUCCGAGGGCCCCUUUUCAUUCCUCUUUCAGAGGAUUUUUUUUAAUUUUUUUUUAAACACGAAUAGAAAUGAAAUUUUAAAGUUUUUUUUUGUAUUUAUAAGCUUCCCGAACGACAUCGUUUUGGGGUGAUCGUUUAGUGACCAAAACGACGUCGUUUCAAGGCCUCAAGAUCCGCGUGUUGACCCGAACCGGGGGAAGAUCCGCGCGUUUCUGAUAUUCGGGGAAAUAUCCCAAUUGGUCCUUCCGUUUCUUUCACUUUUGUAAUUAAAUCCAAUUUAUUUUUUUAAUUUGGCCCAGAAAUUUGUCUUUCAAUCCAAUCUAAUCUUUGGGGCCACUUUAGAAUGAAUAUGGAACGACGUCGUUCCUUGGGAAUAGGGCAUUUUGCUCGAUGAGUCCUUCACCCUUGGCGCACAUUUCAUUUAAAUCCUAGAUUCAGUUUUAUUUUUCUAAUUUCGUCCCUGUAAUUUUAUAAAAUUUUAAAUUUAAUCCUAUGUGUUUUUUUUGAUAUUAUAUAUUACUUGUCUUCUUCUAAACCUAUAUAUGUUUUAUUAUAUAAUUAUACAAUUAUUUUCACCUAUUAUUCAUUAUGUAUUAAUCCUUAUAUAUAUACAUUAGUUUUAUUAUUAUUAUAUAAUUUAGUAAAUGUUAGUUUGAAAUCAUUAUUAAGUAAUAUGUUUUUAAAUUUGUAUUAUUUAUUAUAUUAUUACUAUAUUGUAUAUAUAUUUAUCUUAAAUUCCUUUUUUACAUUAAAUUAUUUUAAUAAUAUUGUUUCAUUCAUUAUUUUUCAUAUAUAUUAUUUAGUGUAUUCUAAAUCAUUUUAUAAAUGUAAAAAUUGUUUUACUUUUCUAUAUUAUUACUUUUCAUAUAUUAUUUCAUGUAUUAGACAUUUCAUAUAUUUUCAUUAUUUUAUAUUAUUAUUUAUAUAUAUUAUUAUCCUUAACUAUUAUAUUAUAUUAAUCAAUUACUUAUAUACUAUAUAUUAUGAUUUUAAAUCCAUAUACUUUUAUAUUAUAUAUUAUAUAAUUAUUUUAUUUAAUACGUAUAUUAUUUUUUUAUAUAUUUUUAAAUAUUAUGUUUGUAUUAUUAACUUUUUUUAAAAAAAUAUGUAUUAAUCCUUUUAUUCUUUUUAAAUACCAAAGGUUGAUUUUAAAUCAUUAUUAAGUGAUGUUUAUGUUGAUAUAUACAUAUUGCCAUUAUUACCUUUUUUUAUGAUAUUUUUUGUAUGAAUAUUAAAUUGUAUAUCAUGCAUCAUUUUUACUAUCAAUAGGUUUAAAUAUAUGAUGAAUUACAGGUUUAUGUGUUUUUACUUAUUCUUCUUAAAUAUAUAUCGUGUUUUAUGUAUAUUUUACUUAUUUAAAAUUUGCCAUGUUUCUUAUAUGUAUGAUAUUUAUGUUAUUGUGUUUUUAUUUACCUAUUAUUAUAACAUUUUAUCUCGUAUGUUAUGUUAAUAUGCUCCUGCAUGCAUUGAUUUUAAAAAACGAGACUCUAAAGUUUUCAAAAAAAUAAAGGCAAUGCUUGGUGUUUGAAAAUUUCGGGAAAAGUAGUGCCCUAACUUACUGGGUUGCAAUUUUUCUCGUUGAGUUUGAAUAGUCAAGCACCCUUCUAAGUUUUUAAGGUUUUCAAAAUACGAGCAACUGUUUUGGAAUUUCAAAGCGUUGCGUCCUAACUUACUGGAUGUGGCGUUUUGUCAUUUCGAGAUAGAGAUUUUCAAAAAAGCUAGUUUAGUUUCGAAUGUCUUAAAAAUAUUGUGUCCUAACUUAAUGGAUGAGAUAUUUUGAUUCGUUUGAUACAAGUGAACCCCAAUUUUCAAAAUCAAAAUAUUCUAAAGAGGAUUGCAUCUUAAAAUUUUUAAAUUUCCGAUUUUAAAGACAUUUGAUAAUUAAUUAGGUACCAAUUUUUGGGCGUUUCGAGGGUGCUAAUCCUUCCUCGUACGUAACCGACUCUCGAACCCGUUCUUUUUACUUCGUAGACCAAAACUAAUAAUUUAUCGGUGAUCAAAUCACACCUAAAAAGAUUGGUGGCGACUCUCGUUUUCGUUUUUUAAGUCGAUUCCCAUUUUCCAAAACCCGAUUUUAAAAAUGGUUUCGACACUGACCAUUUGAGCCAUCGAUCUAAAGUUGGCAUGACCAAGUCUUUGAUGCCAAAGCUUGGAAUCUUCUGUUGAGGCAACACAGGCUAAGUGUAAGUCACCUGACCAGUUGACUUCAAAACAUUUAUCAGUCAUACUGACUGUCAUGAGGCUUGUUCCAUUUGAAUCAGCAUUUUGGCACUCCUGGCCCUUAAACACAACUGAGUAGCCCUUUUCAAGCAGUUGAGCAAUGCUGAAAAGGUUCCUGUCAAUCUCAGGUGCCAGCAGCACAUUUUUUAUGAUUUUAUCACUUGUGGAAGUGCAUAUUAGCACAUCCCCUUUUUUUUCAGCCUUAAUAAACUGACCAUUCCCAACUUUUACUUUGGUUUUGCAACUUCUGUCCAAAGUCUUAAAAAUAGUUGCAUCUAGUGACAUGUGAUUAGUGCAACCACUGUCCAACAGCCAUCCGUUUGGGCCCUUGCUCUGACCAGGUAAGCAUGAUACAGCAAAGACCUGUUCUUUAUGGUCACUGCUGUCUUCAGCCAUUCGAGCUUCAACAUCCUUAUGUUGUGCUUGGUUUUGCCAAGGUCUGCCUUUUUCUUUACAGACCCUUUCAACAUGGCCCUUUUUUCUUGCAAUGUUGACACAAGGCAUCUGGUCUGAACCAACAUUUGGCCUCUAUAUGACCAGGCCUUUUACAAAAUCUGCAAAGUUGAUCUCCUCUUCUUGCAGCAUCAGGCUUAGGCCUACUUCUCCAGUUCUUCUUGCCUUUAUAGGCUGAGGUGCUCGAGGCUGCUUUGGCCUUGGCUUGGAAAGCACCCUCCUGGUGCUCUUCUAUCCUGCUGGCUCUCCUUUGUUCCUGAGCAUAGAGGGAAUUAAUGAGCUCAGUUAGGGAGAUGCUUGAAAGAUCUCUCGAAUCCUCCAGGGAUGAGAUUUUUGCCUCAUAUCUUUCAGGCAAUGUUGAGAGCACCUUCUCCACAAUCCUUGCCUCACUAAACUGUUCUCCUAGCAACCUUAUGUUGUUCACAACAGCUAUGAUUCUAUCUGAGUAAUGCUUCAUUGUCUCUUCCUCCUUCAUCUUCAAAUUUUCAAAAUCUCUUCUUAAGUUCAACAAUUAUUCCUGCCUUGUCCCCUAUGUGCCUUGAAACUCCUCUUUAAGCUUGUCCCAGGCCUACUUUGGAGUCUCACAGGCCAUGAUUCUGGUAAAAUAAACAUCAGACACACAGUUCUGAAUACAAAACAUGACCUUAUGCCUUUUGGUCCACUCAUCUGCGUGUUGCCUGAUUUGAGCCACUGUGGGAUUGGCUCUGAGUGGAGCUGGCUCUGCAUCAGAGUUCACAACUUCCCACAGAUCGAAGGCCUGUAGGUAAGUCCUCAUCUUGACAACCCAUAUGUAGAACCCUUCACCAUUAAAGACUGGUGGUGCUGCAAGAGAAAAGCUUGAUGAAGCCAUUCAGUUUAAGAUUCAACUACAACAGGUCCUCUAAGAUGAAAGCUCUAGAUACCAAUUGUUGGGGAUUUAGGCACACUUUAUCCAGAUGAAGUAUGAACUUCAGUCUGAACUUAAACAACAAUGUAAUAUAUCCGGAUGAAGAAUGAAGAAAUAAGAGCUGAGUCUUGAGCAACAAGGCUCGUAGCUUGUGGAAGAAACAAACAGAUUUUGCAAAGGAAAACAAUAACAGAAAUGAAAGCAAAAAAUGGAGCAUAAAUUGAAUGAAAUUCAAUAUUUUUCAUUAAGAAGAAACAUUGGCAUAUAGCCAUUAUAUAUAUCAGUCAUUGAUUGAUCAAAACAAGACAAACAUCACCUAAUGCUUACCUAAUACCACUAGUUACAUGGAACACAUAAACAAAGCUGAUUUGUCAGCUCAAUCACCACCUAAUUACAUCAAUCAUGAAUCUAACAUAGUUCUAAAUGAACUAGAAUUCAUUACACCAACUAAGGUAACAAAAUGGAACUAGAUGGCAGUAGCUGCACUCGGUCUUACUGCUCCUCGAUGGCUUGGUGUGCAUAGCCAUCCUCUUGAUGCUGCAUGCUGACCAAUCUUCAACAAAUAUAAUAAUAGUUAACCCGGAAAAGCAAGUCAAAGACGAGAAGUAAAAUCGAAAACGAUUUACAGUACAAAAGUCUGAAAAGUCGAAUAUUAACAGUCUUUAAUUUUAACCAAUUUCAUAUUAUAACACAAUGAGUAGAUUUGUAAACAAAUAGAUUUUUCUAAUAAUACUGUUUUAAAUUUGAUUGCUUCACUUUUUGAUUCGCCGGAUAGUGUCAUACGGAAUAAGGUGUUAAUGACGAUGUGGAGUAUUUGGUUCUUUCGAAACAGGUUUUGUUAGAAGAAUGAGUCUAUAUCGGCUGCUGUUGUUUUAUCUUUCGACAUAUCCAAUCUGCAGGAUUGGUUGAGUGCAGAAUCGGUGUUUGAUAUAGCUCAAUGUGUUGCUGGUCACCUGCCUAAUGUUACUGGCCGUCGCCUGAGCAGUGGUGGCCGACGGUAGAUGAAGCCGCCUGAGAAUCGACUGAAACGCAACGUUGAUGCAGCAAGUUUUGGGGCGGAUCAGUCGACUAGCUUUGUAGCAGUGGUGAGGGACUCUAACGACGUUUUUGUUAAGGGUAAUACGGGUCAUUACUGAGCCAGCUUGGAGCCAAAGUUUGCUGAAGAUUUUGCGGUCUGUGAAGCUCUUUCUUGAUUGAAGGCUCGGUAUCAUGAUUGUGAGCGACAACCUCCAAGCGAUUUCAGCUCUGAAGCGGGUUGAUGACGAUGCCUCUGGUUUCAGUAUGUUUAUUUCAGCUCUUGCAUCUCAGUUUCAUAAUUUUUCUUUUUGUUGGACGAGACAGGAAGCAAGGCAGCUCAUAUAUUUAUGAGAGUAGUCUUAUCUUAUGCGACCCACUCUGAAUGGAAAAGUCAUCCUUCCAAUCAUUCCUUUAUUUUAAACCAUGAUUUUAUGUUUAAUUUAGACCAUGAAAGUAGAAGAUGUUUGGACCGAGAGUACAAGGUAAGCCAGUUGGCUUAGAACUUAGUUUUUAUCCUCUCUUUUAUCAAUUGCUGUUAUUAAUUUGGCAUCAUGAAAUUAUUUCUCCGUAAAAAAAGAUUAUUAUUUUUUAUAUUACAUAUAUAAUAACAUUGAAACACAAAUCUAAGCCCAACUAGAAUCAAUAAGCUUUGGCAUAAUAAAGCUACCAAAUUAUAUUUAUUCACUUAUUCUCAUAAUGAAAGUACAUGACAUAGUUAAUAAUGAGAUCACAGACAACUAGUGCUUCUUACAUGAAGGGAACACCAAUUUAUUUAGUUUAAUUUAAUUAAGUAUGCAACAUACACAAAUCUUCAAGCUUCCAUGGAGUUGUGGGGUUUUUCUCAAUUCAAGUGGUGAGAGGUUCUUCUUUGGUAUCAUAUUGGAUGUUGUAGUAAUUAGCACCAGUGAAAGUGUUACCAGUGACAUCAGUUGUGACAACGGUCCCAUUAUAAAGAGUGUCUUUUUGAGUGAAUACGAAGGGAACAUCACACGUGCCAUGCGUCAUCGAUAGAUACACCGUCACCUUAGUCAUCGGUGGCACAUGAGCUUGGUGGUUAACUUCCAUCACGGUGGUCGUUGUCUUUGUCUCUCCCCACUCGAUUCCUGCUUCGAGUUUGGCAGAUAUUUCGACACCCGCUUUACCGAUUAAUGGAACCCCUACUUCGAAGGUUGCUUUGGUUUCAAGGCCUAACGUAAAAUGAGCUAGCCAAGUACUGGUACUGGUCUCUGUAUAAGAAAGUUUCACAUCGAGUGUGUUGGCUUGAGUGGUACGGUUAGUGGCAGAAUUCUCGGCCAGAACAAGGACUUUCUUGUUAUAGACUCGAGCAUAUUCAAUAUCGUAUCGGAGAUUAUAAAUCUGGCUUGACAACACAGGCUCUUGAACCAUUAAGAAGGCCUCUCUGGUAAUAGAAGGGACUGCUACAUUAAGGCAAUUUGUCUUUCCCUCGAUCGUGAGGCGCUUGCAGAACUUAUUAUUGCCCAAGUUGAGCAGAGCUAUUGUCUUGUUGUCGACUUUGAAGGCACGAAACCGAGUGUCCUUAUCGGUGCCUUUAGUGUCAUUAGAAUCCACCCAAAUCCAAUUCGGGCUACGCCUCCAGAACUUAUCGGAAGAAACUGGCUUGAACCGGAUGUCUCCAUUCUUCAUAUAAAAAACCUCCAUUGGCACAGAUCCAGCACCAACAUCCGCACUCGAGAAUUCUAAAUAUGGGUGACCAUCGACCUGGGUAAGACGAAGGAACAUAUCAUUGUUUCCUUUGAAAGCAACGUACCGAGGCAGAAUCACCAAAGACUCCCAGUCAAUAACUUUGAAGAUAUCAUUGCCAUUAUCCGCAACAUUUUUGUUGUUUGCCAACACGCCACGACUGAGUUCCGAUUUAGCCAAUGGCCAGAAGCAUAAAUAGCAUCCAGAUUGAACAUGGACAAAUCGAAAAUUUUUAUAUACAGAGUCUUUCAAGAUAGGCUCGAACAAUGUGCAUGACUCCUUGGAUCGGUCUUCUUCCGACUUAUCCGCGGUUAUAGUAAUCCAAUACUCCUCAUCUGGUUUUCUGGUGAUGGAAGGAUUAUGAGUUCGCUCCAAGUAUUUGUUGUUGGUACAGCUCCUUAUGUGCACCAGCCCAUCUUUUGCAAACUCCACUUCGAAUUUUGAAUUUGCGCUUACGACCGUUGGUUCGGUGAACUCGGCGUAUCCGUUGUACUUUCCUAUGUCGUGCUUGUAGCCAAGGUAUGUUUCUGCACCGGGGGAUUUGAGCACGAUGAAUCUUGGCACUGACAUUUUUAAUAACAAAGUAACUCUCUCAAUCCUGUGCUUAUGCUUUGGUAUACAUUAAACCUCAAGGGCUAAGCUUUUUAUAGAAAAAACUUAUUGCUCUUUUUUAGUAGUUCUUUUUAAGAUUUUUUCUUACAACUUCGUGCCAAUUAACAUUACAGCCCACUUGCUCUUAUUGAUGUAACCUACGUUUCAAUAAUUUUGGUACACAUUAUAAAUGGAGUAGGAGAUGACUAUUACAGGGUUUAAACUAAUCUUUUAAGAUGUGAAUUUAACCACUACUCUCUUAUAUUUGAUAUGUAUAAACGUUGGAAUUUAUCAAUAUCGUACUGAAUAUUUCUGAUUCACCUACAUUUAAACAUUUUAAUAAUGAUUGAUUGGUUCUUAGUUCAAUUAACAUAUUGGUAUCAAUGCAAAAAGAUGUGAAUUUGAGUGCCUUAAAACACAUUAUCCUUCUAUUUAUGAGUUGGAGAUUAAAUUUCAAUUUUAAAAGAAAUACUAGAGACACAUUAAAUUUAUAUAUUUUUUUAUUAUUUUUUAAAGAAUGAAUCAUCAUACGAAAUCUAAAGGAUUCACAUGAAACUACUGAAAACCAAAACAAAGGUUGAUACGGAACAUUAAAAGGGAGCAUACGCAUAGCUCCGCCAUUCCCCUUUGUCAAUGCUUAACAAUCAUUGUUCAUUUGUUUGGAAUUCCAUUGUUAGAAUUUGAAAAAAUCUUCAAAACAGUAGAAUAAUAUUUGUUACGUAGUAGUAAAUAGAAGAGGAACGAGAUUUUUUUAAUUGGGGGAGUUUUUCUUCUAAUAAAACAUUAGACACAAUAAAUAUAUUCAUUUUUCUUAAUAAUUUGAUAUGAUAGAUCUUAAAUUGUAAAAUUCUAUCCGAUUGUAACAUAAUCUAGCUCCAAAACAUUGAGGAUGAAAUUGCUCAUCAUUUAUUAUAAUUUUAAUAUAUAAACAUAUAAUUCUUUCUCGAAGCUAAGGUUUCUUCAUUGCUAUAUAGAUUUAUAUUAUCAAUUCUUUAUUUUCUUCCCAGUUUUAUUCCUUCAUCAAAUUUCUAUGAAAUAAUUUUUUUUUUUAAAAAUAAGUUUUGUUCAUUUAAUAAUCAACACAGUUCACUACAUAGAGAGUUCAAUCUCAAAAGUUCAUUCAGAUUUGAAUAAAAAGAACCUAAAUCAACCUUCAACACCUAAAAUCUAAGCUAGAAAAACUAGCAGCAAUAACAACAAUAAAAACCUCACAACAGCAGUAGGAUCUUCAUAAGACAAGCUCACGACAGCCACAAGAACACCGUUUCACAAAAACCCCAAUCAAGCCUUUAGCAACAAAGGCAACUUUUGAUCCUAUCUUGCAUCACACCAACCCCAGAGUUAGUCAUUUAUGUAUAGUUUAGAUUAUAUUUUGAUUACCGAACAUUAAAUAGUUAGGACAUGAUCACUAAUUAGUGAACCAAGAGUGGUCACACCCUGUUUUAAAAUAAGAGUAGUAGUUUUUGUAACAAGUAAUUUAAUUUGUUUCAGUGGUUAAGUAUUCUAAAUGUGUGCUUGAGGUUGUGUUUGAUUCCCUUUAAGAAAUUUCUUUAUUAAUUUUGAUCUCAUAUCUGAUUUGGUACGUAUAGGUUUUUUUAAUUUUUGUAUAUUAUUUGUAUGAAUGAGCCUAUUGGUUCAAUAGUUAAAACUUAACAUCUCUUGUGCUCACAAGUUUGAAUCAUGAUGUGUGUCGAAGUAGAAUUAUUUUUGCUUCUGUCUUGCUGUGCGGUCCAUGCUGCAGAAUAUGGGUCAAACUCAAAUUCUUAGUAACUUGAUUAAGUUAACAUCUAAUGGGAUAAUAUAGUUUUUUUUUUUUUUAAGGAAGUUAUCUCCUAAUUUUUCUCCUAUUAUGUCGUCCACCUUCAACCAAUCGGCUGCUUUCCCUUGUCGAUCUUGCUCUCCAAUUUCGAAUUCAACGUCGAAUUUAUUUGCUAGACAUAUUGCUCGUCGGGAAAGGAUUGUAUGAAACAGUGACGUCACGUCACGUCAUUUGUAUCACUUUUCAAUAGUUUUAUGCUACAUCAUUACUCUUAUCCUGAAUUUUAGGAUUUUAUCCUGAAAAAAAUUAAAUCCAAAUUAAAAUACUAAAAUUCAGGAUAAAAUCCUGAAAUUCAGGAUAAGAUACUGAUAUGGCAUAAAACUAUUGGAAAGAGAUACAAAUGACUUGACGUCACUGUUUCAUACAAUCCUUUCUCAUUGCUCGUCAAAUUCUGUCGAUUGGCUUCUCAAAAAUUUGUUGCACCAAAUUCUUGUCGUCAUUCUUCUUUAAAAAUGCACACCGAUUGGCUUUUAAAAUUGCAACGCCAAAUCUGUUUGACUAGAGCUACCAAGCUCGAAAAUAAUUUGAUGAGUUCAAGAGAAUAGGAACUUAUGAAUUAAAUUCUGAUAAAUUGAAAUGUUAUAAGAGAAAAUAGUAUAAAUGCAUAAAGAAUCAUUAUGUUAAAAUGAAUAUGAGCUUAGACAUAUGAAAUGAAAAUAAAUUUUCAUGAGUUAGACUAUGAUUUGAAUGUAUGCAUUGCAUGAAUUUAUUUAUAUUGAUUUGAAUUGUAGAAUUACCAUUGAGAAAUUUGUUCAGCAUACGACUUGUUUUCUUGUGUGCAAGUUAAAUUCAGUUUAAUAUUCUCAAGCAUCAACUUCAACAUCCAAAUGGUUAAUAUCUUAGUUGAAAUGGUAUAAUGUUAGGUAUGCUAAUGAUCUUAUUGAUAUUGGUGUGAAUGUUUGAGUUAAAUUGAAUUGCCCUAGGGAUUUGUUCUAUUGGAAUGGAACAUUUGCAAAUUGAGAGUAGAGUGUAUACAUAUAUAAUUGUGUUUUGAAAUGAUGUUAAGGAAUGCCAUUUGGAUGUGAAUAGUUUUGGAUUGGAAGUAUUUGAUGGUUAGAACUUGAUACCAUUUCUAGUCGCAACGAGGGUUGGACUCCAAGCUACAGCACAACUAUGAACCCCGUAAUCUCGACGAGGCCGAGUUAGUAUGUCACAUUGCGACAAGGAACUAUCUCACGCGUGACGUCAACCCUAUAAUUUGAAUUCUUUACAAUUUAAUCUCGAUUUGAUCUUAGGUUAUCUUAUGAGCUUUCAUAAGCUUGUAUAAUAUUCGGAAAUUUUCAUUUAUCAUGUUUUUUACUUAUAAUGUUCUUAUUGAAUCUUAAAAUGGAUUGAAUAAAAAUGGAAACUUUACCUCGUUAUGUAAAAAUGUAAUACUCUUAGUCACGUCAUGUUAUCAUCUAAAAAGUUUUUUACAAAAAACAAAUUUUAAAUGAUUAUAUGACACAAUAUCAAAGUAGUACGACAUUACAUAAAUCUAAACUGAAAAAUUUUACCAAAUUUCAAAACUAAUGUGAAGAAAGAAAUUAAUGAUUAAAUUUAAAAAAUAAUAUUUAGUUUUAUAUCAAUUCAUAAUAAAUAAAUUACAUAAUUAUUGCACUAAUAUAGUAUGUGUGUCAUGUUAGUCAUAUUUUAAUAUUAAAUAAUAAUUUUAUUUUUUAAAUAAUAAUAAAAAAAGACCAGGCUCGUAGCAUGACUUUUCUGCAAAAGUAUUCUCCCACUUUCGAUAGUCUAUUCAUAUAAUAGCAAUAACAAUAAUAGGAUAUUAAUUCAAAAUUAGCGGAUAUGCGGUAGUCAUUUUUUAUUUAAAAAGAUCACUUUUAAGACUCCUUUUUUCCAACAAUGUUUAAAUUUAUUAUUUUAUUCUUCCUAAUUCCUAUGGUUUCCAAUUGUAUUAUAUUUAAAUAAUUUAAUAUAAUUAAACAUAAAUUAUUUUACAAUUUUAAAUAUAAUGCUACGUGAUAUUUAAAUAAUUAAUAUAUGAAUUUUAAAUAUUUUUUAAAUAGUUAAUAUAAAUAACAAUUUUGAUAUUUUUACUUCAAAAUCGACAAGUCAUAUAUUAAAAAUACUUAAAUCCUAAUAAUCCUAAUUUUGAUUAAUAUUUCAUAGUAAUUAAUUUUUCGCGAAGAAAGAUAUAAUGGUUACCAUAAGAUAAAAUAAGAUCAUAUUUGGAGAAUGGAUUAUCCUAAAGAGAUUAAAGAUAUCUAUGAGGAUAACACACUUAUUAUAAGGUCAUUGGAUGAACACUGGUUAAGUAACUUUCAUAAUGAUAUGUAAUAAAGGAGAGCUCAAACAUAAUAUUGUAGUGGAAUGACUUAAGGGGGGUUUAUGGUAAAUUGAUUGUUAUUUACUGUCAGUGUUCGGGUUUUGUUUGGUUGGAACUGCUUGCUGUUUUGUUUCUGGCAUGCAACAGUUAUAUGGAUGCUGUACUUUGAUUAAGUGAAAAAUAAUAAUAAAGUUUGGACGAUGGAUUCGUUAAUUUUUCAUUACAAGAUGAGGGCUUUAUUAUGGGCAAGGGCUGCUUUCGAUGAAUGCAGGUUUCAGGAGAGAUUAUGAUGGCUCGGCUCGUUUAAAUGCAGUUUUUUCUAAUUCUGGUUCAAGAGGAUGGAGUUAUCCUCCACAUGGAUGGUUGAAUUUUAAUGUUAGCAGAACUGCUUCUGAGGGCGCUAUGCAUGGGUGGUGGAGUGUUGAAAGAUGAGGAAGGUAUUGCUUGAGCGUUAUUUUCGGGUCCAAGCGAUGCAUAUGAUGUGGAGUCAGCUGAAUUGGGAGCCAUCAUCACUGCUUUGGAUGUUUUUAUUGACUGCGACUGGAAGGGGUCGGGUUCUUUGAUAAUUGAGAUGGGUUCGAAGGUGGUUUGUAACUGGAUUUUGGGGAAAACAAGGAGACCCUGGUCGCAUCAAGUUUCAUUAUCUUGAUAGGAGGAUUGCCUGUGUGGGCGAGUUGUCAUUUUUCAACUGCUGAAAUGAAUGGAAAUGAAAUGGCAGUGUCAUUAGCUUCUGUUGGAAUGAGUUGACUUAGCAUGUUUAAGGCUUGGUGGUUAUUUUGGUUGAGAUAAUUUGUUGCAGGUUUUUUGUUUUUGUAAUCUAUGUGUAGAAGUUACAGGGGAGUUCGGGUUUUGUGGUGUUUUUCGUGGUUUUUUUUAGGUGGGCUACAUGUCAAGGGUAUUAUUUGCUUUGCCUGUUGUUAUGGCAUUUGCAUUUUUGUAAUUGCCUAACUGAGCGAAAAAAUAAUAAUAAUACAUAUGAGGGUGACACACUCUAGUAAAAUUUACUGGGGUUGUCGCCCCACCUCUUUUAAUUCAACUAGAAGAUUAGUUUUUCCUGUUAAAUAAAUAGUAUUUAUGUGAUACUAAUUUAACCAGGAUUCUUCUCUCUUGCUAUAAAUAGAUAGUACUAGUAGAGUUAUUUACAACGGUUCACUUAAGUUUUCAAUAUUUUUAUUCUAUAAGAAAAUAGUGAGAAUUUAUUUUUUAAGUAUAAAUUUUGUUUUUUGAGUGUUAGAAUUGUGUGACCCAAAUUCUAAGAGAUUGCUUGCAAGUCAAGUUAAACAAAAAUAUAUUUUCUUUCUAGAAGAUUUAGUAUUUAUUAGUAUAAUAUAUUUAGCAUUUAUUAGUAUAGUUUAUUUGACUUACUAAUUUAGCCUAUAAAUAGGCUCCUUUACAAUCUUAGAAAAAAAGAGACACCCAUUAGAUUAGAACUCAUAACACAUUCAGAGAAUUUUGUGUUUACGUUUGAGGGUUCUUUGUUUUCGGGUUUUCGGGGUUUAGUUUUUAUCUCCAUCUUUUGUACUCUUCAUUCUUUUGCCAUUAUAGUAAAUUUAUCUUUACCCGUGGUUUUUUAUCCUCUUUUGAGGGGUUUUUCCACGUUAAAUUUGUGUGUUCAUCUUCUCAAUUUCUUCUACUAUUUUUACUUGUUCGUUGCUUAAUCGGGACGAUCCUAACACUGAGAAUAAUAAUUUUGUCAAUUUCUAUUUAGAGAGAAUUACUUUCCUACUGAAAGUAAUAAAUCAUUUUUGGUUCCGUGUUUGGUUCGUGAUUAUUUGAGCCCACACUUGAAACAAUUUAUGGUACAAGAAUAGCAAAGAAGGUUAUUCGGUUGAAAGCUGAGAAUGUUUAAAAUCUAGUUCGCAUAAAGCACAAUUACUUUUUAGGAAAGAAUUAUUACUACAAAUGUAACAAACCGACUCAAUUUUUAAAAUUUUAAUUUUUUUAUUAUGACAGAAAAUCGCUUUUUAAAUAGGAUUUUUUUUUAACAUUUGGUAUCAAAGCCAAGUUGUGCUAUGUUUAUAGUAUAAAUCGAUAUUAAAUUUUCUUUUUUUUAAUUUUGGUUAAUUUUUGAUAAUAUGUGGCAUUCUUAUAAAUAUAUGCAUGUUUUGGGUUAUAUAUGCGAAUGAAUGUAUUUUAUUAUUUUAUAUAUUUGAAAAGAAAUUUGGUCAAAGUUAUAAUUCCUAGUAUUUUGAUUGCAUGUAAUUUCAUGUUUUAAUAAAUUUUGGGACAUUUAAUUAGAUCAUGGACUAUCAUCUAAAUUUAGAUUUUAUUUUAUUUACUUUAGAAAAUUUCAUGUAAAUUUGAAAUGGACUUGAGGUUUAUGUAACCAAAUUUUUCAGUGAAUCCCAAGAACAGAGACUCAUCCAGAAUUGAUCAAGACAAUACGAACCUGACCUAGCCAACAAACAAAAGACUAGAAAAGGACCAACCAGUGGUGGUUCGAUGAUGGUGUCUAGCAACAGCUCGAUGAUGAUCGACAACGAUGGUCAACAACGGUCUAGCGAUGGAAAUGGUGACAGGUCGACGAUGACGACAUUGAUGUCAACUGUGGCAGUGGCAGAAAUUCGUGGUGGUGACAGAGAUUCGACAGUAGAUCCCUUCAGUGCUUUUCAAGUUAUUUGUGUUUUUGGGAAAACCUAAAAACCAAGAUAUUUGGCUUUCACUCAGAAGACCUAAAGUAUGUUUUAAGGUAAUAGUUGUAAUUUUUAUUAUCUAUUAUUUUAAGAUGUAAUCAUGAAAAUUUUGGUUGGUCAGAGUCAUUCUAAUUUUAUGUUUUUCUAUGAUAGCAUGAUGAUAUUUAAAUUGACUGAAAAGUAUGUUCAUGCAUAUAUAUGAUAAGCAUGUCAUAUAGUUUAGAAAAAGAAUGUCACAUGACAUUUUAAUCAUUCAUGAACAAAAUUGGAAAUAAAAAAUCUUGCAUGUUUUUAUAAGUUUAAGUGGGAGAAAUUCUCUAAACAAGACCUACAGCCUCCACCAAUGGUCUCUUGUGGUGGCAUGACAAUUUCAAGUCUUUCUUUCCUCCUAAUGCACCAACCACCUUCGAAGAUAAAGAAAACACAUAUUCAGCAUAGAAACCAACCAACAUAGCAAAUUUUUCCUAGUAUUACUCAACAAACAGAAAUAUUGUAAAAAUUACAAAAUUUGCUAUCACCCACGCAUCAUUUACAUGAAUUAUCAGUCUAAAAAGUACCAAAAAUAACUCUAUAUUCUAGAGUUAUCAAGGUCGUUGAUAAUGAGGCCAACCUAGACUAGAACACGCAAACAAAGAUGGCAUUCAAAAGCUUGUCUAAGGGUUAUGUAGGCUUUAGGGUCGCAUACAACCUUGGGAACAAGAAUCUGACACUUACACAAUUUAUGAAUGAGUUACAAUCCUAUGAAUUGAUGUUGAAUGGGGGUCAACCUCUCUGGAAAGAAUAAACAAACUUAGUGGUUGCUUCUUCUUCUAAAGAGAAGGGAAAGCAUGCUAAGAGAAAUAAGGUUAAGUCCUAUAGGCCACCAAAAGUGGAAAGAAAGAAUGCCAAUAAACCUAAAGACUUAUCUAAGUGUUUCUUUUGCAACAAGAAAGGGCACUUCAAGGUCAAUUGCAAAGAGUGGAAGGAUUACUUAGUCACUAAGGGCAAAGCUAUGGAACUCUUUAUUAUAGAAAUUUUUAUGUGUUAUCAAUUACAUUCCUCCAUGGCCAUGUAUCAUCCAUCAAGGUUAGAGAGCUUCUCCCUUCAAUUUUUGUUAAAUUUUUCACUUUCCCUAAACCGUUGCCAAUUUAAACAUCGAAGGGUUUUCAAAGUACAAACUCUAAUUCCUCUAACCCAUUUUCUCCUUUUGCGAAACAAUUGAAACAUUAACACGAUCUAUCUUCACAAAUCGACCUUAACAUUGAUAUGUCCAAUGUAUAAUGCAUAAGGAAAUCGAAUAUUAAAUAUUUCAUUCAUUUUGCAGUAUAUCUAUCAAUGACUAAUUGACGGAUAUGAUAUGAUCUUUGCAAAUAUCAAUUGUUAUGCCAUUAUGAAAAAUCUAUACCCACUAAAAAGUGUUGGGUGCGAUGGUAAAACACAUUGCACUUCCAAUGAGAGAACACAAGUUCAAACCUUGAAGAUGGAAUUGUUAAUAGAAACAACCACGAAUCUUUAACAUAGACAAAAAAAUAUAUGUGGAAAAUAAAAUAUAUAUAUAUAUCCAUAGUGAUUACAAAAUAGAAUAUGCUUACACAAUUUUACCUCGUCAUGUAAAAUCUGGUAUAAUGCUAAUGAUAAUGGAAAAAGCAAAAGAGAAAAGGCGGCCAUUAAUCUAAACUGGAAUGAAAAAGAUUCCAAAAGUAAUGUGAACAAAAUAAAUUUAAAGAUUAAAUUUAAAAAAGUUAGCUUUUAUCCUAAAGCAAAAGCAAUAACAAUGGGGAUGGAGGAACACACUUUUCCAACUUUGGAUUUUGUUCUUUCUUAUGGUUCUUAGAAAUUAGGUGGUGGAGCCCUUUUUUUUUCUUUUUUUCCACUUGGAUUAAUUAAUUUCCAACUAAUGGGGUAUUUGUUUUAAUUUCACAAGAUUAAAAAUUAUCCUUUUUACACGUAGGGGAAAGAACAAACUAAGGAGAAAAUAUCAUUACAAUAGAAAAAUAAAUGAGAGAAUUUUUUAUUUUAUUCCUUGUAUAUAUGUAUAUACAAGCCUUGUACAUGCCUCUAUUUAUACACUUUCUAACAUAAUACAAUCCCUUAAAUUACAAAGAAUAAAUAGAGAUUAUAUUACAAUAUAAAACCUUCACAAUUGCAUUGGAGGCUACUACGGUGGAGGUUAUAAUUUUGAGAGUUAUAGACAUCUAUAAUAAAAUAAUAUUUAUAAUAAUUACAUAAUUAUUGCACUAAUAUAGUAGGUGUGUGUCAUAAUUUAAGAUAUAAUAUUUACCAUGAGAUAAAAUAGGAUUAUAUUAGGAGAAUGAAUAUAUCACAAAGAGAUUAAAGAUAUCCUAUGAGGGUAACACACUUAUGACAAGUCAGUGGACGAGCACCAAUUAAUUAGCUUUCAUAAUGGUAUGUAAUAAAGGAGAGCUCAGACACAAAUAAGUUUAUAAUUAAUAGGCAAAAACCUGGAACUUAAUUAUAAAUUAUUUGAGCCCUAAUUAUAUAUGUUCAAUCAGUUUCUCUGCUAGCUCAUUGAAACUAUAGAAACGAAUUGCAUGUAGAAUCAAAUGAACAGAAAUGGAUAGAAAUGACAAAAUUAGAGAAAUGUGUCACAUUCGCAAAUGAAUGUGUUUUCUUGAUGAAUAUAGAAAUGAAUUGAGAAUUAAUUUAAUUAAAUAAUUGAAGUUCGAAAAUAAAAUUAAAUUAAUUAGUCAUUAUGAAUACGUUGAAUAUGGAAAUUAAAUAUAUUUCUUAGGGAUUUCUUGAAUUGGAUUGAGAAAAUUAUUUAAUUAAAUUAAUUAAUAAAUCAUAUUUAUUUUAGAAAAUAGAAAAACAUGUAUUGGUUUAGAUUAAAUUAUAAAGUGUUACUUUAAAAAUAUAAGAAGCACGUAUAAUUAGACUUAAUACAAGUGAUGCCCGAAUCCCCCUCAUAAUACAUAUGAGGAGCGACACAUCCUACUAAAAUUUACUAAGGUUGUCGCCCUCACCUCUUUUAGUUGAACUAAAAGACUAAUUUUUUAUUAAAUAAAUAUUAUUUAUGUAAUACUAAUUCAACCAGAAUUUUUCUAUCUCUCCAUAUAAAUAGAGAGUACUAGUAGAAUUAUUUACAACCGUUUACAUAAAUUUUUAAUAUUUUUAUCAUGUAAAAAAAUAGUUGGAAUUUAUUUUCUAAAUAUAAAUUUUAUUUUCUAAGAUUAUGAAUAGGAUAGGAUAUUACUUUAAAGUUAGCGGAUAUGCGCUAGUCAUUUUUUAUUAAAAAGUUUACUUUAAGACUUUUAUUUCAACAAUGUUUAAAUUUAUUAUUUUAUUCUUCCUAAUUCCUAUGGUUUACAGCUAGAAUUAUAAUAUCAAACAUUUAAAUAUUUUAACUAAACAUGAAUUAUUUGUAAAAUUAUUGAUAUAUGAAAUAUUUUAAAAUUUUAAAUAUAACGAUAAGCGAUAUUUAAAUAAUUUAAUAUAAUAAUAUAUAAAUUUUAAAUUAAUUUAAAUUUUAAAUAUUUUUUAAAUAAUUAAUAUAAUUAACAAUUCUGAUAAUUUGACUUCAAAAAGGACCAGUCAUAUGCUAAAAAUACUUAAAACCUAAUUAUUAUUUUUAGUAGAAAAGCACUUUUAAUUACAAUUUGGUAUUUCUUUUUAGAUGAAACGUACCUUUAGUCUUUUGGGAUUGUAAUGUAUUGAUUACCGAACAUCAAAUAGUUACAAUAUGAUCACUAAUGUUGUCGAUUUGUUACAUUUUGGUCACUGAUUUAUUAACUAUCUUUAAUGGUUUAACGGCAAGCUGAUGUAGCAUACGAUAUGAUCGCUAGCAUUAUCAAUUUAUUACAUUUUAGUCAUUCAACCAUUAAUUGUUAUAAAAAUGUAAUGGAAAAUUAAUAUGACAUUUUAUAUCAUUAUUUCAUAUGAAAAUUUUAGUAUAGAUUGCACAACUUGUAUUUGUGCAAUUUACCCUAAAAUUUAUUCAACUUACACAAACUUCUCAUCCAACCAGAAAAAGCUUAGGAACUUGAUACACAUGCUUCCCUAGGGCAAGAAAAGCACCAAGUUUUUAUCUUUAAAUAGCAAAGCCCUUGAGGUUUAGGGUAAAUCAAAGCAUAAGCACAAGAGUGAAAAAGGCCAUCGAGAGAGAUACUUCGUUUGUGCAAAUGACAUUGCCAAGGUUCAUCGUUCUCAAAGCCCCCGAUGCCGAAAACUACCUCUGCUACAGACCCCGCAAUGGCACCUACAAGGGCUACGCCGAGUUCACCGAAAGGACGGUUGUGAGCGCAAAUGCGAAAUUCGAAGUGGAGUUCGCUAAAAAUGGGCUGGUGCACAUAAGGAGCUGUACCACAAACAAAUAUUUGAAACGAAUUCAUAAACCUUCCAUCACCAGAAGUCCAAAUGAGGAGUAUUGGAUUACUAUAACCGCCGAUAAGCCGGAAGAAGACCGAUCCAAGGAGUCAUGCACAUUGUUCAAGCCUAUCUUGGAAGACUCUUUACAUGGUAAUUAUCGAUUUGUCCAUGUUCAAUCUGGACACUAUUUAUGCUUAUGGCCAUUGGCUACAUCGGAACUCCGUCGUGGCGUGUUGGCAAACCACAAUCAUGUUGCAGAUAAUCAGAAUGCUAUCUUCAAAGUUAUUGAUUGGGAGUCGUUGGUGAUUCUGCCUCGGUUCGUUGCUUUCAAAGGAAACAAUAAUAUGUUCCUUGGCCUUACUGAAGUUGGGGAUCAACCGCCUUUAAAAUUCUCGUGUGGGGAUGUUGGUGAUCACCAGGUGACAAUGGAGGUUUUUUAUAUGAAGAAUGGAGACAUCCGGUUCAAGCCGCUUUAUUUCGAUAAGUUCUGGAGGAGUAGCCAGAAUCGUAUUUUGGUGGAUUCUAAUGAAGCUAUAGGCAACGAUAACAAUAAGAACACUCAUUUUCGUGCCUUCAAAGUCGACAGCAAGACCAUAGCUCUGCUCAACGUCGGCAACGAUUUGUUCUGCAACUGCAAGAGCGUCUUAAACAGGGAAACGACCGGUAUCCUUACUGCAACCGUCCCUUCGAUUACUAAAGAAACCUACCUACGUGUUCUAGAGCCUGUGUUGUCAAGGACGAUUUAUAAUCUCCGAUACGCCACAGAAAAUGCUCGGGUCUAUAACGAAAAGGUCCUUGUUGUAGCCCAGAAUUCCGCCACUAACCGUACCACUCAAGCCAACACACUCGAUGUGAAACUUUCCUAUAGUGAGACCAGUACCAGUACUUGGCUAACUCAUUUUACACUAGGUCUUGAAACCAAAGCCACCUUCCAAGUCGGGGUCCCAUUCAUCGGUGAAACGGGUGUCGAAAUAUCUCCCAAAUACGAAACAGGAAUCGAGUGGGGAAAGACCAAGACGAUGACCACCGACAUGGAAGUUACGCACCAAGUUAUUGUGCCGCCCAUGACUAAGGUGACGGUGUAUCUUAAGAUGACCAAUGGCACGUGCGAUGUUCCUUUCGUGUUCACUCAAAAAGACACUCUUUAUAAUGGGACCUUCGUUACAACUGAUGUCCUAGGUAACACUUUCACCGGUACUAAUUAUUACAACAUCCAAUAUGAUAGCAAAGAAGAACCCCUCACCUCUGAACCCCCCACCUCUGGAAAUCAGAACAUCACCCUACUUUGUCAGAUAAUUUAAAAUGAAAAUUUAAAAGAAAAUAUUGUAAAAGUUUUCAUUUCAAAGUUUUAAUAUAAACUAUCAUUCGCACUUUUUUUUUUAAUUUUAGUUUUUUAUUUUAGAAAUUAUGCAGUAACAUUUUACUUUUCUCUAAAAUUUUCAUUUUAAAUUAUAUCAUAUAACAUUUUUACAUGACAUUUAAUGAUUAAGCUAACGGUUUUAAUAAUAGAAGGAUACCGUCAAUAGUUUGGGGAUAUAAUUAUAGAGUUUUAAAGUUUGAGGGUUAAUUUAGAAUGAAAAUAAUAAUUGGAGGAUUUCUAAUACAAUUAAUUCUAAUUCUUAAAGGAUUUUGUGUUUUUGCUAUGUUUUGAUGUUUUUUUUUAAUUUGUAAUUUUGGUCCUAUGUAAUUAGCAUUUAUCAUGGGUCAAGUUAGGCUAGUGUAAAAAAAUCAAUCCCCUUUUUUAGGCUUAGAUCCAACCCGACUCGAAAAUAAGUUUAAAAUUUUGUCUAAGCCUAGCUUGAAUACAAAAUGUUAAACUUAAGCUCGGCCCACAUUAAUUUUUUUAGAUUAUUUUUAUAUAAAAAUAAAUUUUAAAAAUAUAAUAAAUCAAAUAGACUAAAAGAAGUAAAAUAAAUAUUUUCCAACAAAUUAAAAAUACAGAUAAAAAAAUAUAGUUGCAACUUAACAAGCAAAUACUUCUAGAAUAAUUGCAAAAUUAAUAAUAAAAUAAGAAUUAUACAAUAUCCAAACAAUAAUAAAAAAAUAGCAAUAAACAAAAAAUGACAUAAUAGCAGUAAACAAUAAUAAACAUCAGGAGAAUUAUUUUUGUCAAAUUUGGGCCAAGUCCGGACCAAAAAAGUAUUGCCUAAGGUUCAACCCGUUUUCUAAAUGAGCCUUACUUUUUUGUCCAAACCUAUUUUUUGAACUUAUAUUUUUGUCUAAAUCCUCUUACUUUUCGGACAGACUUUCGAGCUUGAACGGGUAACCCGACCCAUGAUCAAGUCCAUACGUAAUAGGUAUAAAAUUCUUUCCCCACUUAAUUAAUAUUUUAUUACUAAUCUUUUUUUGACUUAAAUUAAAACAGUCUUAUUUACUUGCUAGAAGAACCUUGACCCUUUAAAUGGUAUAAUAUUCUUUUAAGCCUUAACCCUUAACCCUUUAUUUAAUGAAAGAGUUACAUUUUUGGUCCAUCCCAAAUAUUACUAAGUUGUUUUAACACAAUUUUUAGAUUUAACCCCAAUCUUUUUUAAUUAUAAGAUUAAAAUAAAAAAAAUUUUACAACCGAAAGGGAGUUAAUUGAAAUUUUUCAAAAUUUAAGUACAGGGCCCUGCUACCCCUAAUUCACCUCUUGUUGGAGAGAAACGUGCAUUAGGCUAUCAAAUAUAAUGUCAGUACCAGCAGCUUAAAGAAACAAGUGAUUAAGAGGUAAAAUAAUCAAGCAUUUUAAUUCAAACAAUCAAACUCUAGGUCAAAUGUUAGUAUAAAAACUUAUUUUAUUUAAACUUAAUUAGAAGGUAGAUAAAUAGUAAUAUAAAAUUUAUUAUUUAUUAUUUUUAAAUGAUAAUACAAAGUGUUGAGGCAGUUUUGAGAGCAGUUACCACCAUCGUUACAACUAUGCUUGUAAUUGCUCAAGUUUCAUAACUUAUUUUAUUUGUUGGCAUGUUUGACCAAAAUGUUUUAGCUAUUUUAGUGCAUCUUUUUGAAGAUUUUGUGCAACUAAUCUCAUGAUUAUAAUUCGAGAUGAGAUUAGAUUAAGUAAGAUUAUUUUUCAAGGAUUGUAAUGUGAUCUACUUAUCGUAUAUAUUGAAAUACGCAAUCCAAGAAUAUAUUAGCUACAUUUAUGAAGGUUUAUUUCAAUACUUUGUAUCCUUAUAUUACGGGUAUUUGAUUUGAUGAGAUUAGUAUAGAUCAAGAUAAGUGGUUAGUUUGUGAACUUAGAUUCAUGCUCUAAAUAUGGAAGGAUUGUUCAACCUUGAAAUAGGUAAUUAUGUUGGAGUUGUUAUGAGAGCAAUUACAACUACACUGGACACUACUCAGAAAUUAUAACUUAUCUUAUUUGGAUUUACAAUAUUUUUGAUCAAAUCAAUUGGGCCAUGACUUAGAUGAUUUUUUGAACUUGUGUUAACCCAUACUUAAAGAUCCAUUUUAUGGAGCAAUAAAUCUAGAACAACCUAAUUUUUAAUGGCACCAAAAAGUCAAUUUCAAAAUCUCAUUUUUGUAAAUCAAGUCUUAAUAUUUACAAGACUAAUAUAGAAAUAUAUUAAAGUUUUGUCUAGUAAUUUUUCCAAAUUGAUAGCUAACUAGGGUAUAAAGACUAAAUUAUAAAAAUUUAAUCGUUGUAAAUUUUUAAUUGACCAAAAACUUAGAGACUAAAAUUUAAAUUAGUCAAAAGUUCAAAAUGAUAAUUAAACCAUUUUGAGUAAGUGUUAGUGGAACUGGAUGAUAUGUGUAUUAUUAAAAUGAUUAUUAAUUAAUUAAAAAAUAAAUAAAUUAAAACAUAAACAUGUUAUAAAAACCAAUUUUGGUGGAAGGAAAGAGAAAAUUAUCUUCAUCUUCCGCCUACAACCCGUCCACCUCCACAGAAGAGAAAAACAAAAGCUUCCAAAGGUUAUCAAUUUUCGACCAUUAGGUAUUGUAAUUAAAUAUUUUUUUUAUAAUUUUUAUGUUUUUAAGGUCACGGGAGCUUUAUUUAGCUGACACAUAUAUCAAUUUGUAAAACUGUUAAAGUUUUAAAAGUUGUCAUUGUUAAUUUCUUAAAGAAAUUGGUGUUAAAUUGAUAGAUUUUAAGCUUAGAUUGUAAAAAAUGAUUAGAGUGUAAAAUUUAAUUGAUAGUUUUGAACAUAAAAACUACAGUGAAUAAUUUUUAAAAUUUUUAUAAAACUAAUAAUUUUGAACAUAAGGACUAAAGUGAACAUAACCACUCUCUCUUUUUUCUUAUUAGUAACUAUGUCAUGAACUCUUUAUUAUGAAAAUAAAUUAAUAAAAAAUAAAUUGGCGUCAAGUAUUUAUGUGAGUUUGUUUGAGAUUUGGGUUUUAAUGUUAUUGCAUAAGUAAAAUAAAAAAAAAGUUAUUACAUAAUCUGAACUUGAACCAUAAAACAGAUAUAAAAGAUACAAAAAAAUAUAUCCGCAGUUAUUACGAAAUAGCAUAAGCUUACUAUAACAACCCGAAUUUUAGUGAUAUUAGAAAAUGCAGUUUUAGGAUCCUGUUUCCGUAAAUCGAGUCAAUAGAUUAGAAAAUGAAUUAAGUACUUAAAUUGCAAUUAACCUGAGGUCUAAAACAAGAAUUAGACCAUUUAAAAAAUGUGAUAGUGCAGGGUUGGAUUAGCCAUGUCAUUAGCUUAAUUAAAUUAAGAUUUAAUUAAUUUAAAACAUGUUUAAUUAAAACUAAUUAAUUAGGUGAUACGCCUUCAAAAAAAGGGGCCGAAAGUGUUGGAGCCUGUUUUUUACUUCCCUAUUGCCCCAAGAAAGUAGGUGAUAGAGCCUGUUUUUGACCUCCACUUGGAUUAAUUAUUUGCCAAAUUAAUGAGGUAUGUGUCUUAAUUUCACCAGAUUAAACAUUAAAACACUAUUUUAUAGUAGAUGUGUCAUGUGAGUCAUAUUUUAAUGUUAAAUAAUAAUUUUAUUUUUUAAAGAAAAAAAAAGACUAGGCUGGUGGCAUGACUUCUAUUAUGUUUUUCUUUUCUGCAAAAAGUUUCUCCCACUUUCGAUAUUCUAUUCAUAUAAAAAUAACGAUAAUAAGAUAUUAAAGUCAUUUUUUAUUAAAAUAAAUUUAUUAUUUUAUUCUUCCUAAUUCCUAUGGUUUCCAACUGUAUUAUAAUAUCAAACAUUUAAAUAAUUUAACAUGAAAUAAUCAGGCACCAAAAAGGAAUGAUGUCGAGUAGCUCAAUGCUAUAACGAUUCAUUAUCUCUUGUUAUUCAGCUAAUCCUUGUACUAACUAAGGUGAAGUUGGCAAUGGAGAUAUAAGAUAGCUCCAUGGACCCAACCGAUCACCCGAAUCAUCUCAGGUCAUUCCAUUAACUCAGAAAUGUCUCUGACCCAAUCUAAUGUUGUAUCUUCCCCACACAAUUUUAUAACCCAUUUCAAGAGCUGCAAAGUAGCAUCCAAAACCAAACCACAAAAUUCGAAAGAAACACUAUGAGAAUAUGUAAGACAAUUCCACAUAAUGACCUUAGAAAGUCAAGUACUCUAAACAUUAAACUCUAUAACAUUUAAAACCACUUUGCUAUAAAUUUCACUCUUCCUAAACCAAUACCAAUUUCAGCAUAGGAGGUUCCUCAAAUUACGAACUCUAAUGCCUCUAACCCAUUUUCUCAUUUUGUAAAACAAUUAAAACAUUAACACGAUUUAUCAUCACAAACCAACUUUAAGAUGGACAUAUCCAAGGUAUAAUGCAUAAGGAAAUUGAAUAUUAAAUAUUUCGUUCAUUUUGAAGUGUAUUUACCAAUAACUAAUUGACGAAUAUGAUAUAUUUUUAUAAAUAUUGGUUGUUUGUGCCAUUAUGGCAAAUUUAUACUCACUAAUAAUUGUUGGGUGCAAUAGUAAAGCACAUUGCGCUCUCAAGGAGAGAAUACAAGUUAGAACCUUAAAAAUAAAAUUAUUGGUAGGGACAACCACGAAUCUUUAAUAUGGAUCGAAAAACAUAUAUGAAAGAUACAAAAAAUAUAUAUCCAUAGUGAUUACAAAACAGAAUAUGCUUGCAAAACUUUAGCUCGUUACGUAAAAUCUAGUAUAAUACUAAUGAUAAUGAAAAAAGCAAAAGAGAGAAGGCAACAUUUAAUCAUUGAACUCAAGUUCUCUUAACUUGGCUCAUCAAUUUUUUUAGUCUACAUUAGUACUUGAAUUUAAUAAAUUUUCUCAAUUUUUCUCAAUUUUGAUCUAUGUGAUAAUAUGAUACUUUUAAUUGAAUCAUAUUAUCACCUAAAUAUUUUUACAAAAUAGAUGAUAACAUGAUAUAAUAUAAGUGCUAUAUCCUCAAAUUAAUCUAAACUGGAAUGGAAAAAGAUUCUAAAAGCAAUGUGAACAAAAGAAAUUUAAAGAUUAAAUUUAAGAAAGUUAGCUUUUAUCCUAAAGCAAAAGCAACACGUCAUUGACUGAUGAAGGACCCCCCUUUAUUUAUCAUGAUGAUUACUUAUAAUAUUAAUAUUCAACGUUAAAAUAAAUUGAAAUUAUGUCUAUUUUAAUUGUAAUUACUUUAAUAAUAAAUGUAAUAUAUUAUAAUUCAAAUUCGAUAAUCAAGUCAAGUAUAAGGUGUUACACUUACAUAACUAGUCAUAAUAAAUAAAUUAUAUAAUUAUUGUAUAGAAUGUGUCAUUAAAGUCAUACUUUAAUACUAAAUAAUAAUUUUAUUUUUCAAAUAAUAAUAAUAAUAAUAAGACUAGGCUCGUGGCGUAACUUUUCUGCAAAAAGAUUCUCCCACUUUCGAUAUUCUAUUCAUAUAAUAACAAUAACAGUAAUAGGAAAUUAAUUCAAAAUUGGCGAAUAUGCAGUAGUCAUUUUUUUAUUAAAAAGUUCACUUUAAGACUCCUUUUUUCCAACAAUGUUUAAAUUUAUUACUUUAUUCUUCCUAAUUCCUAUGGUUUCCAAUUGUACUAUAAUAUCAAACAUUUAAAUAAUUUAAUAUAAUUAAACAUAAAGUAUUUUACAAUUUUAAAUAUAAUGCUACGUGAUAUUUAAAUAUUUAUUAUAUGAAUUUUAAAUAAUUUUUUUAAUAAUUAAUAUAAUUAACAAUUUUGAUAUUUUCACUUCAAAAUUGACUAGUCAUAUACUAAAAAUACUUAAAUCCUAAUUAUUAGUUUUUAGUAGAAAAUCACUUUUAAUUACAAUUUGGUAUUUUUUUAGAUGGAAAGUACUUUUAGUAUCUUUUAGGAUUGUAAUGUUUUAAUUACCGAACCUCAAAUAGUUACAAUAUGAUCACUAAUGUUGUCGGUUUGUUAUAUUUUAGUCGCUGAGUUAUUAAUUAUUUUUAAUGGUUUAACGGCUAGCUGAUGUGGCAUACGAUAUGAUCACUAGCAUUAUUAAUUUAUUAUAUUUUAGUCAUUGAGCCAUUAAUUGCCAUAAAGAUGUAAUGGAAAAUUAAUGUGACAUUUUAUAUCAUUAUUUCACAUAAAAAUUUUAGUAUAGAUUGCACAACUUCUAUGCAAUUUACCCUAAAAUUUAUUCAACUUGACACAAACUUCUCAUCCAACCAGAAAAAGCUUAGGAACUUGAUACACAUGCUUCCCUAAGGCAAGAAAAGCACCAAGUUUUUAUCUUUAAAUAGCAAAGCCCUUGAGGUUUAGGAUAAAUCAAAGCAUAAGCACAAGAGUGAAAAAGGCCAUCGAGAGAGAUACUUCUUUUGUGAAAAUGACAUUGCCAAGGUUCAUCGUUCUCAAAGCCCCCGAUGCUGAAAAGUACCUCCGCUGCAGACCCGGCAAUGGCAUAUACAAGGGCUACGCCACGUUCACCGAAAAGAUGGCUGUGAGCGCAGAUGCGAAAUUCGAAGUGGAGUUCGCUAAAAAUGGGCUGGUGCACAUAAGGAGCUGCACCAAAAACAAAUAUUUGAAACGAACUCAUAACCCUUCCAUCACCAGAAGAGAAUAUGAGGAGUACUGGAUUACUAUAACCUCCGAUAAGCCGGAAGAAGACACAAAAAAGGAGUCAUGCACAUUGUUCAAGCCUAUCUUGGAAGACUCUUUACAUGGAAAUUAUCGAUUUGUCCAUGCUCAAUCUGGACACUAUUUAUGCUUAUGGCCAUUGGCUACAGGGUAUCUCAAACGUGGCGUGUUGGCAAACCCCAAUCGUGCUGCAGAUAAUCAGAAUGAUAUCUUCAAAGUUAUUGAUUGGGAGUCGUUGGUGAUUCUGCCUAAGUUCGUUGCUUUCAAAGGAAAAAAUAAUAUGUUCCUUGGUCUUACUGAAGCUGGGGAACAGCGUUUAAAAUUCUCGUGUGGGGAUGUUGGUGAUCACCAUGUGACAAUGGAGGUUUUCUAUAGGAACAAUGGUGACAUCCGGAUCAAGCCGGUUUCUUCCGAUAGGUUCUGGAGGAGUAGCCCGAAUCGUAUUCGGGUGGAUUCUGAUGAAAAUAAAUGUAAGGAUAAGGACACUCAUUUUCGUGCCUUCAAAGUCGACGGUAAGACCAUAGCUCUGCGCAACGUCGGCAACGAAAAGUUCUGCGACUUGAAGGAAACGACCGGUGACCUUGCUGCAACCGUCCCUUCGAUUACUAAAGAAACCUACCUAUGUGUUCUAGAGCCUGUGUUGUCCAGGACAAUUUAUAACCUCCGAUACGACACAGAAAAUGCUCGGGUCUAUAACGAAAAGGUCCUUGUUGUGGCCCAGAAUUCCGCCACUAACCGUACCACCCAAGCCAAGACACUCGAUGUGAAACUUUCCUAUAGUGAGACCAAUACCAGUACUUGGCUAGCUCAUUUUACACCAGGUCUUGAAACCAAAGCCACCUUCCAAGUCGGGGUUCCAUUCAUCGGUGAAACAGGUGUCGAAAUAUCUUCCAAAUACGAAACAGGAAUCAAGUGGGGAAAGACCAAGACGAUGACCACCGACAAGGAAGUUACGCACCAAGUUAGUGUGCCGCCCAUGACUAAGGUGACGGUGUAUCUUAAGAUGACCUAUGGCACGUGCGAUGUUCCCUUCGUGUUCACUCAAAAAGACACUCUUUAUAAUGGGACCUUUGUUGUAACUGAUGUCCUAGGUAACACUUUCACUGGUACUAAUUAUUACAACAUCCAAUGUGAUAGCAAAGAACCCCUCACCUCUGGAAAUCAGAACAUCAACGUAUUUUGCGAAAUAUGUAAAAUAAAAAUUUAAAAAAAUUAUUGUAAAAAUUUUCAUUUUAAAGUUUUAAUAUAAACUAUUAUUCCCACUCAUUUUUUUUAGUUUUAUUUUUUUAUUUAGAAAUUAUGCAGCAACAUUUUACUUUUUUUUUAAUUUUCGUUUCAAAUUAUAUUACAUAACAUUUUACAUGAUAUUUAAUGAUUAAGUUAAUGGUUUCAAUAAUAGAAGGAUACCGUCAAUAGUUUGGGGAUAUAAUUAUAGAAUUUUGGAAGUUUGAGGAUUAAUUUAGAAUGAAAAUCAUAAUUGGAGGAUUUCUAGUACAAUUAAUUCUAAUUCUUAAAGGAUUUUUGUGUUUUUGCUAUGUUUUGAUGUUUUUUUAAUUUUCAAUUUUGGUCCUACGUAAUUAGAGUUUAUCAUGGGUCAAGUCGGGCUAGUGCAAAAAAGUCAAUCCCCUUUUUUGGGCUUAGGUCCAACCCUGCUCGAAAAUGAGUUUAAAAUUUUAUCCAAACCUAGCCCAAAUAAAAAAUGCUAAACUCAGGCUCGGCCAGCAUUAAUUUUUUUAGAUUAUUUUUAUAUAAAAAUAAAUUUAAAAAAUAUAAUAAAACAAAUAGACUAAAAAUAUUAAAAUAAACAUUUUUCAAUAAAUUAAAAAUACAGAUAAAAAAUAUUUAUAUUUAAAUAACACUAAUAUAGUUGCAACUUAACGAAAAAAUACUUCUAGAAUAAUAGUAAAAUUAAUAAUAAAAUAAGAGUUAUAGAAUAUUCAAACUAUUAUUCUUUGAAGUCCAUACAUAAUAGGUAUAAAAAUAUUUUCCCACUUAAUUAAUAUUUUAUUACUAAUCUUUUUUCGACUUAAAUUAAAACAUUCUUAUUUACUUGCUAUAAGAACCUUAAAUGGUAUAAUACUGUUUUAAGCCUUAACCCUUUAUUUAAUGAAAGAAUUACAUUUUGGUCCAUCCCAAAUAUUAAUAAGUGAAUUAAAUUAAUAAGUUGUUUUAACACAAUUUUUAGAUUUAACCCCAAUUUUUUUAAUUAUAAGAUUAAAAUAAAAACUUUUUAAAACCCAAGGGGAAUUAAUUGAAAUUUUACAAAAUUUAAGUACAGGCCCUGCUACCCCUAAUUCACCUCUGGUUGGAGAGAAACUUGCAUUAAGCUAUCAAAUAUAAAUGUCAGUACCAACAGCUUAAAGAAACAAGUGAUUAAGAGGUAAAACAAUCAAACAUUUUAAUUCAAACAAUCAAACUCUAGGUAAGAUGUUAGUAUAAAAACUUAUUUUAUUUAAACUUAAUUAGAAAGUAAAUAAAUAUUAAUAUAAAAAUUAAUACUUAUUAUUUUUAAAUGAUAAUACAAAGUGUUGAGGCAAAAACAAAUUCGAACCUUGAAGAUGGAAUUAUUGGUAGGGGCAACCACAAAUCUUUAACAUGGACCAAAAGACAUAUAUGAAAGAUACAAAAAAUAUAUCCUUAGUGAUUAAGAGAUAGAACAGGCUUACACAACUUUACCUCAUUAUGUAAAAUCUAGUAUAACGCUAAUGAUAAUGAGAAAAGUAAAAGGAACUUUUUCCCCUUGGUUCAUCAAAUGUUUUGGUCCAUAUUAGUGCUUGAACUUGAUAAAUUUUUUCAAUUUUAAUCUAUGCGAUGAUGUGAUACUUUUAGUUGCGUAAUGUUAUCACCUACUUUUUUAUAAAAAUUAUUAUUCUUUGAAGUGAUGACAUGACACAAUAUAAAUACUACAUUUUCACAUUAAUCUAAAUUGGAAUGAAAAAGAUUCCAAAAGGAAUGUGUACAAAAGAAAUUUUAAAAAAAUUACCUUUUAUCCAAAAGGAAAAGCAAUAGGAAUGAGGCGUCAUUGAUCGAUGGUGGAACACACGUUUCCAGCUUUGGAUUUUGUUCUUUCUUAUGGUCCCUAGAAAUUAGGUGAUGAGCCUUUUUUUUUCCUUCCACUUGGAUUAAUUAUUUGCCACACUAACGGGGUAUGUGUCUUAAUUUCACAAGAUUAAAAAAUUAUCAUUUUUUUUUGUAAAACACUGUUAUAAAAUUUUAAAAAAUAGACAUGAUGAUGUUUUAAUUUCACUUACAAAAUUAAAAUAAUUUCGUUAAUAUCUAUGCUAUAUAAAUCUCAAUUUAAUUAUUAAAUUAUUUUUAUUUUAAUAAAAUAUAAAUAAUAAAUUAAGGUUAUUUUUAUCUUUUUAUACAAAAAUUGAAAAAAUAUAUAUGUUUAUCAUAAGAUUUGAAUUCAAGACAUCAAAUGUAUAAUAUCUCAAUUUUAUCAUUUCAAUCAAAAUAAUAUUUAUUUUUUAUAUCAAUUCAUAAUAAAUUAAAUUAUUAUUAUGAAAUAAUCAAAGGAAAGAACAAACUACAGAGAAAAUAUUAAUACAAGUUUUGAUUCAUCUAUUUAUAGACCUUCUAAUGUAAUACAAUCCCUUAAAUUACAAAGAAAAAAAUAGAGGUUUAAUUACAAUAUAAAACGCUACCAUAAUAAAGUAAUAUUUAUAACAAUUACAUAAUUAUUGCACUAAUAUAAUACAUGUGUGUCAUAAUUUAAUAUUAAAUAAUAUUUUCCUAUUUUAAAGAAAAAAAAAAGACUACGCUCGUGGCAUAACUUUUAUGUUUUUCUUUUUGGGAUAAAUAUUAAAACUACAUAUGAACUAUGAUUUAAUGUGAAAUUAUAUACACGAACUUUGUUUUUGUUCAAUUUUAUAAAUGAAAUUUUGAUUUGAUCCCAUUCUUGUAAAUUAUUAGCACAAUUAUUAAUAUAACAUCAUUUUAUAUUUAUAUAUUGCAUACAUAAAUAAUUAUAUUUAUCUAAUAUUAAAAUAAAUUAAUGUAUUUAUUUCUUCAAAUAUAUAUGAUUAAAUCAAAAUUAAAAUUUUAAAUAUGCAAUUGAGUUACAAUUAAAAUUGCACAUAUAUAAUUACAUCAAAUUAAAUUUCAUAUAUAAUAUUAUACAUAUAAUUUUCAAAUUUAUCCUUUUCAUUUUCUGCAAAAAGAUUCUCACAAAUUUUAAUUUGAUGUUUCUGAUUAUUUUAAUUGUACGUCUCCUCCCACUUUCAAUAUUCUAUUAGUAUAAUAAUGAUGAAUUAAAUUUUUUAUAAGUAAUUUAACCAAAAUUAUGUUUAAUUAGAAUUCAGAGACUAAACUAUAAGGUCCAAUCAUUAUAAAUUAGAAAAUGAAUUAAGUACUUAAAUUGCAAUUAAUCUGAGGUCUAAAACAACAAUUAGACCAUUUAAAAAAUGUGAUAGUAGACGGUUGGAUUAGCCAUGUCAUUAGCUUAAUUAAAUUAAGAUUUAAUUAAUUUAAAACACGUUUAAUUAAAACUAAUUAAUUAGGUGAUAGAGCCUGUUUUUUACUUCCCUAUGGCCCCAAGAAAUUAGGUGAUAGAGCCUGCUUUUGACUUCCACUUGGAUUAAUUAUUUGCCAAAUAAAUUACAUAAUUAUUGCACUAAUAUAGUAUGUGUGUCAUGUUAGUCAUAUUUUAAUAUUAAAUAAUAUUUUUAUUUUUUAAAUAAUAAUAAAAAAAAGACUAGGCUUGUGGCAUGACUUUUCUGCAAAAAGAUUUCUCCCACUUUCGACAUUCUAUUCAUAUAAUGAUAAUAACAGUAUAGUCAAUUUUUAUUAAAAAGUUCACUUUUAAGACCAACAAUGUUUAAAUUUAUUAUUUUAUUCUUCCUAAUUCCUAUGGUUUCCAAUUGUAUUAUAAUAUGAAACAUUUAAAUAAUUUAAUAUAAUUAAACAUAAAGUAUUUUACAAUUUUAAAUAUAAUGCUACGUGAUAUUUAAAUAAUUAAUAUAUGAAUUUUAAUUAAUUUUUUAAAUAGUUAAUAUAAAUAACAAAUUUGAUAUUUUUACUUCAAAAUCGACGAGUCAUAUAUUAAAAAUAUUUAAAUCCUAAUAAUUCUAAUUUUGAUUACUAUUUCAUAGUAAUUGAUUUUUAGUGAAGGAAUGAUAUAAUAGUUACUAUGAGAUAAAAUAAGAUUAUAUUGGGAGAAUGAAUUAUCCCAAAGAGAUUAAAGAUAUCCUAUGAGGGUAACACACUUAUUAUAAGGUCAUUAGACGAGCACUAAUUAAGUAGCUUUUAUUAUAAUUUGUAAUAAAGUAGAGCUCAAACACAAUAUUGUAGUGGAAUGACUUCGUAACUAAGUAAGUUUACAAUCAAUAAGAAAAAAGCUGGAACUUAAUUAUAAAUUGUUUGAGCCCUAAUUAUAUAUGUCAAAUCGGUUCCUCUGCUAGCUCGUUGAAACUAGAAACGAAUUGCAUGUAGAAUCAAAUGACAAAAAAUAGAUAGAAAUGAUAGAGUUAGAGAAAUGGGUCACAUUCGCAAAUGAAUGUGUUUUCUCACUGAGUAAUUAGAAAUGAUUUGAGAAUUAAUUUAUGUCUUUCGAAUAUUAUUUAAUUAAAUAAUUAAAGUUCGAAAAUGAAAUUAAACUAAUUAGUAAUUGUGGAUCCAUUGAAUAUGAAAAUUAAAUAUAUUUCCUUAGAGAUUCUUUUACGAUAAAGUUAGCAUGACUUUAACAAAAUUAGAACUGGAUUGAGAAAAUUAUUUAUUUUAAAAACUAAUUCAUCUAAUUAAAUUAAUUAAUAAAUAAUAUUUAUUUUGGGUUAGAUUAAAUUAUAAAGUGUUGCUUUAAAAGUAUAAUAAAUACAUAUAAUUUGAUCCAAUACAGGAGAUGUCCGAAUUUCCCUCAUAAUACAUGAGAGGGGUGACACACUCUAGUAAAAUUUACUGGGGUUGUCGCCCCACCUCUUUUAGUUCAACUAGAAGACUAGUUUUUCUAUUGAAUAAAUAGUUUUUAUGUAAUACUAAUUCAACCAGGAUUCUCCUAUCUAUCUCUGUAAAUAGAUAGUACUAAUAGAGCUAUUUACAACAGUUCAGAUAAGUUUUCAAUAUUUCUAUUCUGUAAGAAAAUAGUAAGAAUUUAUUUUCUAAGUAUAAAUUUUGUUUUCUGGGAAUUAUAAUUCUGUCAGUUUCUAUUUAGAGAGAAUUACUUUCCUACUGAAAGUAAUAAAUCAUUUUUGGUUCCGUGUUUGGUUCGUGACUAUUUGAGCCUACACUCGAAACAAUUUAUAGUACAAGAAUAGCGGAGAAGGUCAUUCGGUUGAAAGUUAGGAAUGUCUAGGAUCCAGUUAGCAUAAACCACAAUUCCUUUUUAGGAAAGAAUUAUUUCUACAAAUGUCAAUCCCAAAUAUAAUAAGUCAAUUUGUAACAGUUUAUUUUUUAGUGGUGUCAAAAACAGUGAUUUUAGGACCACAACUCCAACGUACCGGUUCGUAAAUAUUAAAUAAAUAAUAUUUACGAGGUCAUUAAUGUCGUAUUAAAAUUUGAUUAUAAAAUUUUAACGUUUAGUUAGUUAGUUAAGUAAAAUGGACUAAAUCGUAAAAAAUGUGAAAGUAGAAUUCCAUUAAUUAAAAGGGUUAAAUGUCAAUUAAAGGGUAAGGUAAGGCAUCUAAAUGGUACCAUUUAGGAGGUUAAUGGACGGUUUUGAGACUUUAUUAGUUCAAUUUUAAGUGAAAUUUUAAAAGGGCAAUUAGGUAAUUUAUUAAAUAAACUUUAAUUACAUUGAAAUUAAAUAUGAAACAUAUCAUCUUUCAUCUUCAUCAUCCCUUUUGCCGAAAACCCUAGAGCAGAAAAGAGAAAAAUUUAUUAGCAUUGCUCCAUUAUUUGGUAAGAGUUUUGCUACCGGUUUUUAGUAAUUUUUAUGUUUUUGAGUUCGUAUUAGUUUAAUAUAACUAGCCUAAGGAUCAAUUCAUAGAACUGUUAAGCUUGAUAAAUUUUUCCAUUGAAGAUUUGAGUUGUUCUUGAUUGAUUAUGGAGGAUUUUGAAGCUUUGUUAUUAAAUUUGAUUAUUUUGUAAGUGAUUUUGAUGAUUUUGAUGUUUAGGGAUUAAAUUGCUAAAGUGAUAAAACUGAAGGAUUUGAUGUGAAAUGGGCCGUAAUGAGAGCUAUUAACUUUCUGUUGGUAUGGGUUCUUAAUAAAAAUGGGUAAAUUGCAUGAUUAAGGCCUAGGGACUAAAUUAAAUAAAAAUAAAAAGUUGAGGGUAAUUUUGUAAAUUGUCAAAAAGGACCCAAUUUCAUAAAUAGCCUGAGUUCCUGUUGAUUUAGUUAAUUGAAUGAAAUUAUUAUUUUAUAUCAAGAACGUGUUGAAAAUCGAGGAAAGGAAAAAAUAGCUAAUUAGUCCAUGCACUUCCGUUGUUGCUACAAAUCAAUCUAGUAAGUUCAUUAAGUUAAAGUUUAAUACAUUUUUCUUGAUUGCUUGUUAUAUAUGUAUAUAUGUAUAUAUAUAUAUUAAAUCGUUGAGAGUUCAUGAUGCACAUGUAAUGAAUCACUGAGAACCUAUUUACGAAUGGAUAUAACACUGAUUGAUGUUAAGACUCCUGAACAAGUAAACAUAAGAUCGAGCUCCUCUGAUAUGCAAAAAAAAAGGGUGUGGUGUAUGUAGAUUUGGAUUAGCUGGAGAUGGGAUGAUAAUUCAUGUUUAUUCAUGUUUUCCUAAUUAUAUCGAUGUCCAGCAUUUGUUGCGGACUAUCGAGUUUUAUUUAGGUUUAUCUGGAGUGUUUACGGGGGCAGUCGUUAGCCGAUGUAGUCGUUGAGAGCACCAAAUGUAAUAGCCUAAAUUUUCAGUGGUGUCGGAACAGUGAUUCGAGAUCACUAAAUCCGAAAAAUGAGUAGAAAAUAUUAAUAAUUUAGUGAAUAUAAGUUAAGUGUGAAGUUAGGAAAAUUUUUGAAAUAGCGAAUAAUGUACUAGAAAUAAAAAUUUUAAAAAUUAGAAUCGAAAAUGAGAUAUCGAGAGUUUGAAAAUUUUAAAAUGAGCCAUAAAUAUUUUUAUAAAUAUUUAUGGAGUGUUAAUAAGUUAGUAUUAAAGUUUCAUUAAGAAAUUUUAAAGUUUCGAUAGUUAAUUGAAUAAAAAGAAUUAAAUUGUAACAAAUGUAAAAUUAUGGGAAAUGAUUAAAUAGCUUAAAUGAUAAAAAAAAGAGGGUUUAAAAGGUAAAUAGACCCAAGGUCUAUUUGGGCUGGACGGCAAAGUGCAUGAAAUCAGCAGGAAAAUUGAUGAAUUAAAGGUAAAAUUGGAAUAUUGUAAAAUUUACUUAAUAAACUAGGACUAAAGUGGAAUUAUCUAGAAUUCUCAUUAUUUUUCUGCAUUCUCAACAGCAAAAACACCAUAGAAGGGUUUUAUUAAGCUGGUUUUUCAUAUUUUUACUGCAAGUAAGUUCAAUUCUUGAUUAUUUCUUGAAUUUUUUGUGUUUUUAUGACAUUUACAACUAGGUCCACUUGUUGAAUUCAUUAGUUUUUGAUUCUAUGAAAGAAAUUGGAAGUUGUUAUGAAUAUAUGUUGGAAGUAUAUGAUGAUUUAUCAUGGAAUUAGAGUUUUAAAUUGUUUAUAUGCUGAUUUUAUUGAAAGAAUUGAAUAGAAAGUGAAUGUUUGGGACCUAAUGGUGAAAGAGUUUGAAGUUAGGGUUUUAUGUGGAAAUUAUGAAUUUAAAUAAUUGUGAAAUAACUUAUAAUGUCUAGGUAAAGCAUUAAUUGGGAAAAAUUAGCUUCAUUGAGGGAUUAAAUGAGCAAGGACUGAAUUGUAUGAAUGUGAAAUUUGGGGCAAAAAACGAAAUCAACAUUUGCACUAAAACAGUUUUGGACAGCAGCAGUAGUCUAACUUUGAAAAAUCACCAUAAAUUUUAUAAAUCGAAUUAUAAAAUGAAAAAAAUAUGAAAUUAAAUCUUAUUGAGUCUAGUUUCUCAUAGAAGAAACGGUGUAAGCAACGGAAUUGUAGAUCAUGAGAUAUAAUAGAUUUUAUGAGACAAUGUCAGAAUGAUUUCGGGUUCCCAUGUUCUGAAUUUGGAAAAUCAUAAAAAAUUGGAUAAAAAUAAUUAGGGGCUUAAAUUUAUAUUUUAAAAUCCUUAAUGAGUCUAUUUUCAAUAAAAACAAACAUGGACAUCAUCCGAAUUCUGUACGAAGAGAUAAUUAAUUUUUAGUGAAGAAGGGUCAGAAUUGUCAGACAGCAGAACAGGGGUGAAUUUAAAGAAUAAACUGUACUUAUUGACUAAACAAAAAAUUAUAAAACUUUUAUGAUAAGAAGAUAUAUGAGUCUAGUUUCAGGAAAAAUUAGCGGAUCCUAAUUUGGAGUUCUGUAGCUAAAGAUAAAAAUAAUUUAGUGACUAUGGCACUGAUGGACAGCAUUGGAAUAUACAUAAGUAAAUAAUGAAAUUAUAGAUAAUAUUACUUAUAAGCGGGUUGAAGAUGAAGUCAAUACUGAUAAGUGAAUGAUUUUACAAUGAUAGAUCGAGAACCCGAAGCAAGUCGAGGAAAAUAAAAAGUAGCUGAUUAGUCCCUGAACUUUCACAAAUUUUACAAAUCGACCCAGGUAAGUUCAUAUGGUUGAAGUUUAAUGAUUAUAUGUUAAUUUUAUGAAUUAUAUAAUGUAAUAUGUAUGAUGAAAUAUAUUUAUUGAUAAAUAGAGAAUAAAAUAACAACACGAAAAUCGAAUAAUUGAUUAAAUUAAGUGGAAUGUCGGAUUUGAGUACUUUUGAUCAAUGACAAGUGAUAAGUGGUAGCCUCAGCUACACUUAUCUGAUCACUGAUAAGUGACAAGCGACAAGCGACAAGUGAUAAGUGGUAGCUUUAGCUACACUUAUCUGAUCAGUGACAAGUGAUAAGUGAUAAGUGGUAGUUUUAGCUACACUUAUCUGAUUGGUGACAAGUGAUAAAUGUGAUCAGUGUAAGACCGUGGUAGGACUAUGACUUCAAAAGGUGAUAAGUGAUCAUACGCAAGACCAUAGUUAUACUAUGGCAAAGUGAAAGAGAAGUACUCAAUUUUCCGUAACCAUUCCCUAAUUUGGUUAAAGAAUGAUAUGUGACAAAUGGGCCCAAAAGAAUUAAAGGAAAUGGAUAAAUGGUAGUAAGUUUAUACAAGGGAACUCACCAAUGGCUGUGGUUGACAGGUGAACUUAAUAAUUGUGUAUAUUGUAUAAGUGUAUAAAUAUUUGGUAAGAUUUAUGUUUUAUGCCUAUGAACUUACUAAGCUUCUAUAAGCUUACAUGAGUGUAAUCAAUGUCUCUUGUAGAUUGACGUGGAAGUAUACGGAGGAUCGGAUCAACACAGAGGAUCACACUAUCCAGAUUAUCUCCGGUAGCUUUUGUAAAUUUCUUUUUGAUUUAUAUGGCAUGUAUAAGGUUUGAUGAUUAUAUAAAUAUUAAGACUUGUUUAAGAAAUAUACAUUAAAGUAAAGAAUGAUGAAUAUGUUAAAUAGUAUAAUUAUAAUAGUAGUAUAAUUUGGUAUCAAAUUGAUUGAAAUGAAUUGGUUGUUUGGAUUGGUCUCGGUUUUAAAAUUUGCAGGGAAUGUUAGAUAUUUAUAAAGGGGUUAUAUUGAGCAAAAAAAAAAUUGGGAUUUUGCGAAAAAUUCCCUAUGGUUUCGAUUUAAUUCUGGUUUUGUCUCGAAGUAUGUUUUGGGCUCUGGAGGCCCAUCUAAAAGAUGCCAUGACAUGUUUUAGUAAAUGAAUAGUAUUUAACUCGUAUUAAUGGAAAAUUAAUUCAGUAAACUUCGAUAAUGCCUCCUACCCUAUUCUAGCGACGAAUACGAGUAAGGGGUGUUACAUUUAGUGGUAUCAGAGCCCAGUUUAGCCGGUUCUCGAAACAUGUGUUACGUGUAAAGUGUUUAGAAAUACAUGCCAUAUAAAUCUAUGAUAGUGUGAUGUGUAUGAUUCGAUCUAAUCUUUUUGUCAUUUUUAUAGAUAUUCUUCGAUUAUAAAGAUGUCAGAUAGACCUGAACGCAGUGAACAGCAGGAAGCUAUCAGUAGAGUGCAGACUUCUGAACAAGGAACAAGUAGUGAUAUUCUAAUUUUUAUGAUACGAGAGCGAAAACUUAAAAAUAUGAUUUAUGGAGUUAUGAAUCAGUGGUAUAAGGAGAUGAUACAAGAAAGAAGUCAGGCUCAACCACCUUCUCCCCCUACUGCACCACCUGUGGUACAUCCGGUUGCUCCUCCACCUCCUUCAAUAAUUGAAACUAGUAAACGUUCUCCGAUUGAAAAGCUGAGGAAGUUUGGAGCUGAGGAAUUUCGAGGGAGAUCAGAUGAUGAUCUUGUAAAAGCUGAGUAUUGGCUACAGAGUUUGGUAAGAAUUUUUAAACAGAUGGCUUGUUCUCCGAAGGAUUAUCUACGAUGUGCUGUCUCAUUGUUAAAAGAAGAAGCAUAUAACUGGUGGGAAACUGUGGAAGCUGUAGUACCUGCAGAGAAACUUACUUGGGAAUUUUUCCAGAACGAGUUUAAAAAGAAAUAUGUGGGGAAAAGAUAUCUAGACAAGAAAAAGAGAGAAUUUCUUGAUCUACGGCAGGGAAAUAAGUCAGUGGCUGAAUACGAAAGAGAAUUUGUCUACCUCAGCAAAUAUGCUCGAGACAUUGUACCUACUGAAAAAGAAAUGUGUAUCAGAUUUGAAGAAGGGUUAAAUGAUAAGAUUAGAAUGAUGAUUGGGGGUAAUGAAAUACGGGAGUUCGUUGUUCUGUCAGACCGUGCUCAAAAGCUCGAAGAAGUAUAUAACAGAAAAAUGCAACGAGAUCAGAAAAAUAAAGAGCCAUUUAAAAGAGGUGCUUCUAAGUCAUUUUCAGAUUUGCCGGUAAAGAAAUCUAGAGAAGAAAUUAGUCGAACUACAUCCGUGCCAGGAAGAUUGGUUAGAGGUAGAUCAAGACAAUCUGAUUUCAGGGUAUUUGAUCGACCUGCAGCAAGUGUGAGCAGUGUUCAGAAUACUCCCUAGCCUAAGUGUCAAUAUUGUGGAAGACAUCAUUUCGGUGAAUGCAGGACUAAGAUGGGGGUUUGUUAUAAAUGUGGGGCUACUGAUCAUCUUAUUCGAGAUUGUCCCCAGCUGCAAAAAGAUGAAGUGGAUUAGAAAAAGAUACAGAGAACCACUCCACAAAUAAGUAGACGUUCGGGCCAGAGCAGUGCUACAGGGGCUACCCGUUCGGGUGUGAGAGAACCAGUUAGUCAAUCAGAGAAUAGAGCACCAGCACGUACCUAUGCCAUUCGAGCAAGGGAAGAGGCUACGGCUUCUGAUGUAAUUGCUGGUAUUUUCUAUCUUUAUGAUGUUACUGUUUAUGCAUUAAUAGACCCUGGGUCUACUCAUUCAUAUAUUUGCAAUAUGCUAGCAUCUAAAAAGAAAUUAUCUGUUGAGUCCACUAAUUAUGAUAUACAAGUCACUAAUCCAUUAGGUCAAAGUGUGAUGGUUAAUUUAAUAUGUCGUAAUUGUCCACUAAAAGUGAAAGGCUGUGAAUUCCCUGUUGAUUUGAUGUUGUUACCCUUUCAGGAAUUUGAUAUUAUUCUAGGGAUGGAUUGGUUAACAAAACAUGACGCUGUAGUGAACUGUCGAGAGAAACGGAUUGAUUUGAAAAAUCAGACAUGAGAAAUGAUUUCGGCUGAGUUUGGAAAUAUGAAAGAUAAUGUUCGAAUUAUUUCAGCCUUUUCAGCUCAUAAGCUAAUACGGAAGGGUAAUGAAGCAUAUUUAGCUUAUAUUCUUGAUACUCGGGAUUCUGAAUCAAAGUUGAAACAGUUGCCAGUUGUUAAUGAAUUUGCUGAUGUGUUUCUUGAGGAAUUGCCGGGUUUACCACCAGAUCGCGAAGUUGAGUUUGUGAUUGAUGUGAUCCCGGGAACAGCUCCAAUAUCCGUAACACCAUAAAGAAUGGCACCGACUGAAUUAAAAGAGUUAAAGACUCAGUUGCAAGAAUUGUUAGAUAAGGGGUUUAUUAGACCGAGUACAUCUCCUUAGGGUGCACCUGUUUUGUUUGUGAAAAAGAAAGAUGGUUCGUUGAGAUUAUGUAUAGAUUACAGACAAUUAAAUAUGGUUACAAUCAAGAACAAAUAUCCUUUGCCCCACAUUGAUGAUUUGUUCGAUCAAUUGAAAGGUGCUGCUAUGUUUUCAAAAAUAGAUCUUCGAUUUGGGUAUUAUCAGCUGAAAGUUACAGAAUGUGACAUGCCAAAAAUUGCCUUCAGAACUCGGUAUGGUCAUUAUGAGUUUUUGGUAAUGCCAUUUGGUUUAACUAAUGCUCCUGCUGCAUUUAUAGACUUGAUGUCAGAUUUUUCAACCUUAUUUGGAUAGAUUCGUGGUUGUAUUUAUUGAUGAUAUACUGAUCUAUUCGAAGACCGAGCCUGAUCAUGCACAACACUUGAGAAGUGUGUUACAGACUUUGAGAGAGAAGCAGUUGUAUGCAAAGUUCAGCAAGUGUGAAUUUUGGCUACAUGAGGUUGGAUUUCUAGGUCAUAUUGUUUCAGCUGAAGGAAUUCGAGUAGAUCCAAGUAAAGUGUCAGCAGUGGUGAAUUGGAAAACUCUAAAGAACGUAACAGAAGUGCGAAGUUUCCUGGGAUUAGCAGGAUACUACCGCCGAUUUGUUAAAAAUUUUCAAUGAUUGCCUUGCCAAUGACUCGACUACUUCAGAAGAAUGUUGAAUUUGUAUGGUUUGAAGAGUGCCAAGAAAGUUUUGACCAGUUGAAGAAGAUGUUGACAGAAGCUCCAGUGUUAACUUAGCCAGAAUCAGGUAUACCAUAUGUUGUGUAUAGUGAUGCAUCUUUAAAUGGUUUGGGUUGUGUUUUAAUGCAAUCAGGGAAAGUAGUGGCAUAUGCUUCUCGACAAUUAAAAUCGCACGAGAAAAAUUACCCUACCCAUGAUUUGGAGUUGGCCGCAAUUGUGUUUGCUUUAAAAAUCUGGAGACAUUAUUUAUAUGGGGAAAAUGUUAUGUGUAUACCGAUCACAAAAGUCUGAAAUAUUUGAUGACACAGAAAGAGCUGAACUUGAGAUAGAGACGGUGGCUCGAACUAUUGAAAGAUUAUGAUCUUGUUAUUGAUUAUCACCUGGGGAAAGCUAAUGUGGUCGCUGAUGCACUUAGCCAAAAAUCAUCAUUGUUUGCACUUCGAGCAAUGAAUCUUCAUUUGUCUGUUAAUGAAGAUGGCUCAGUAUUAGCAGAAUUGAAAGCAAAAUCUACAUUCCUUCAACGGAUCCGUGAAUUACAGAGUGAUUAUCCGAAACUAGUGCUGAAACGACAAAUAGUUCAGGAUAAUUUGAGUUCAGAAUAUAGCGUUGAUGAUGGUGGUAUGUUGCGUUAUCGUAAUAGAAUUUGUGUUCCGAAAAAAUCCAGAAUUGAAAAAUGAUAUUCUUGCUGAAGCUUAUAAUAGUAAGUAUUCUAUUCAUCCGGGUAGUACAAAAAUGUAUUGCGAUUUAAAAAGAAUGUACUGGUGGCCUGGUAUAAAGCGAGAGAUGUGUGAAUUUGUUGUAAAAUGUUUAAUCUGUCAGUAGGUGAAAGCAGAGCAUCAAGUACCAACGGGUUUAUUACAACCUAUUAUGAUUCUUGAACGGAAGUGGGAACACAUUACGAUGGAUUUUGUAUCAGGAUUGCCUGUGACUCUGAAAAAGAAAGAUUCAAUCUGGGUUAUCGUUGAUAGAUUAACAAAGUCGGCACAUUUUAUUCCAGUCAGAUCAAAUUUUUCAUUGGAGAAGUUAGCAGAAUUGUACAUUUCUGAGAUUGUGAGAUUACAUGGAGUUCCAAUAUCUAUUAUUUCGGAUCGAGAUCCGAGAUUUACUUCGAGAUUUUGGAGUAAAUUAUAGGAGGCUUUGGGCACUAAAUUAAAUUUCAGCACAGCUUUUCAUCCUCAGACAGACGGGCAGUCGGAGCGAGUGAUUCAGAUUUUAGAAGAUAUGUUAAGGUGUUGUGUACUUGAGUUUGGCGGCAGCUGGGAAAGGUACUUUCCUUUAGUCGAAUUUGCUUAUAAUAAUAGUUAUCAAACUAGUAUUAAAAUGGCACCAUUUGAAGCUCUGUAUAGAAGAAAGUGUAAAACUCCAUUAUAUUGGUCUGAAUUAAGUGAACAGAAACUAAUGGGAGUGGACUUGAUUCGGGAAACCGAAGAAAAAGUUCGUAUUAUUCGAGAUUGUUUAAAAGCUGCCUCCGAUCGGCAAAAAUCAUAUGCAAAUUUAAAGAGAAGAGAUAUAGAGUUUAAUGUGGGUGAUCGUGUAUUCUUGAAAGUGUUACCGUGGAAGAAAGUUUUGCGGUUCGGUAGAAAGGAAAAACUCAGCCCACGAUUUAUCGGGCCGUAUAAAAUCAUUGAAAGAAUCGGUCCGGUAGCUUAUAGAUUGGCUUUGCCCCCGGAGCUUGAAAAAAUUCAUAACGUGUUUCAUGUGUCUAUAUUGAGACGUUACAGAUCAAAUCCAUCACAUGUAAUCCCUUAUACAGAAAUAGAGCUCCAACCCGACAUGACUUAUUCAGAAGAACCGGUGAAAAUUCUAGCUUGGGAAAUUAAAGAGUUAAGGAACAAACGGGUACCGUUAGUAAAAGUGUUGUGGCAUAGACAUGGUGUGGAGGAGGCAACCUGGGAAACAGAAGAAUCAAUGAGAUCACAAUAUUCGAACCUAUUUUCAGGUAACAAAUUUCGAGGACGAAAUUUCUUAAAAGGGGGAGAAUUGUAAUAGCCUAAAUUUUCAGUGGUGUCGGAACAGUGAUUCGAGAUCACUAAAUCCGACAAAUGAGUAGAAAAUAUUAAUAAUUUAGUGAAUAUAAGUUAAGUGUGAAGUUAGGAAAAUUUUUGAAAUAGCGAAUAGUGUACUAGAAAUAAAAAUUUUAAAAAUUAGAAUCGAAAAUGAGAUAUCGAGAGUUUGAAAAUUUUAAAACGAGCCAUAAAUAUUUUUAUAAAUAUUUAUGGAGUGUUAAUAAGUUAGUAUUAAAGUUUCAUUAAGAAAUUUUAAAGUUUCGAUAGUUAAUUGAAUAAAAAGGAUUAAAUUGUAACAAAUGUAAAAUUAUGGGAAAUGAUUAAAUAGCUUAAAUAAUAAAAGAAAGAGGGUUUAAAAGGCAAAUGGACCCAAGGUCUAUUUGGGCUGGACGGCAAGGUGCAUGAAAUCAGCAGGAAAAUUGAUGAAUUAAGGGCAAAAUUGGAAUAUUACAAAAUUUACUUAAUAAACUAGGACUUAAGUGGAAUUAUCUAGAAUUCUCAUUAUUUUUCUGCAUUCUCAUCAGAAAAACACCAUAGAAGGGUUUUCUUAAGCUGGGUUUUUAUAUUUUUACUGCAAUUAAGUUGAAUUCUUGAUUAUUUCUUGAAAUUUUUGUGUUUUUAUGACAUUUACAACUAGGUCCACUUGUUGAAUUCAUUAGUUUUUGAUUCUAUGAAAGAAAUUGGAAGUUGUUAUGAAUAUGUGUUGGAAUUAUAUCAUGAUUUAGCAUGGAAUUAGAGUUUAAAUUGUUUAUAUGCUGAUUUUAUUGAAAGAAUUGAAUAGAAAGUGAAUGUUUGGGACCUAAUGGUAAAAGAGUUUGAAGUUAGGGUUUUAUGUGGAAAUUAUGAAUUUAAAUAAUUGUGAAAUAACUUAUAAUGUCUAGUUAAAGCAUUAAUUUGGAAAAAUUAGCUUCAUUGACGGAUUAAUUGAGCAAGGACUGAAUUGUAUGAACUAUGAAAUUUGGGGCAAAAAACGAAAUCAACAUUUGCACUAAAACAGUUUUGGACAGCAGUAGUAGUCUAACUUUGAAAAAUCACCAUAAAUUUUAGAAAUCUAAUUAUAAAAUGAAAAGAAUAUGAAAUUAAAUCUUAUUGAGUCUAGUUUCUCAUAGAAGAAACGGUGUAAGUAACGGAAUUGUAGAUCAUGAGAUAUAAUAGAUUUUGUGAGACAAUGUCAGAAUGAUUUCGGGUUCCCUUGUUCUGACUUUGGAAAAUCAUAAAAAAUUGGAGAAAAAUAAUUAUGGGCUUAAAUUUAUAUUUUUAAAAUCCUUAAUGAGUCUAUUUUCAAUAAAAACAAACAUGGACAUCAUCCGAAUUCUGUAUGAAGAGAUAAUUAAUUUUUAGUGAAGAAGGGUCAGAAUUGUCAGAUAGCAGAACAGGGGUGAAUUUAAAGAAUAAACUGUACUUAUUGGCUAAACAAAAAAUUCUAAAAAUUUUAUGAUAAGAAUAUAUAUGAGUCUAGUUUCAUGGAAAAUUAGCGGAUCCUAAUUUGGAGUUCUGUAACUAAAGAUAAAAAUAAUUUAGUGACUAUGGCACUGAUGGACAGCAUUGGAAUAUACAUAAGUAAAUAAUGAAAUUAUAGAUAAUAUUACUUAUAAGCGGGUUGAAGAUGAAGUCAAUACUGAUAAGUGAAUGAUUUUACAAUGAUAGAUCGAGAACCCGAAGCAAGUCGAGGAAAAUAAAAAGUAGCUGAUUAGUCUCUAAACUUUCACAAAUUUUGCAAAUCGACCUAGGUAUGUUCAUAUGGUUGAAGUUUAAUGAUUAUAUGUUAAUUUUAUGAAUUAUAUAAUGCAAUAUGUAUGAUGAAAUAUAUUUAUUGAUAAAUAGAGAAUAAAACAACAACACAAAAAUCGAAUAAAUGAUUAAAUUGAGCGGAAUGUCGGAUUUGAGUACUUCUGAUCAAUGACAAGUGAUAAGUGGUAGUCUCAGCUACACUUAUCUGAUCAGUGAUAAGUGACAAGCGACAAGCGACAAGUGAUAAGUGGUAGCUUUAGCUACACUUAUCUGAUCAGUGACAAGUGAUAAGUGAUAAGUGGUAGUUUUAGCUACACUUAUCUGAUCAGUGACAAGUGAUAAAUGUGAUCAGUGUAAGACCAUGGCAGGACUAUGACUUCAAAAGGUGAUAAGUGAUCAUACGCAAGACCAUAGUUAUACUAUGGCAAAGUGAAAGUGAAGUACUCAAUUUUCCAUAACCAUUCCCUAAUUUGGUUAAAGAAUGAUAUGUGACAAAUGGGCCUAAAAGAAUUAAAGGAAAUAGAUAAGUGGUAGUAAGUUUAUACAAGGGAACUCACCAAUGGCUGUGGUUGAUAGGUGAACUUAAUAAUUGUGUAUAUUGUAUAAGUGUAUAAAUAUUUGGUAAGAUUUAUGUUUUAUGCCUAUGAACUUACUAAGCUUCUAUAAGCUUACAUGAGUGUAAUCAAUGUCUCUUGUAGAUUGACGUGGAAGUAUACGGAGGAUCGGAUCAACACAAAGGAUCACACUAUCCAGAUUAUCUCCGGUAGCUUUUGUAAAUUUCUUUUUGAUUUAUAUGGCAUGUAUAAGGUUUGAUGAUUAUAUAAAUACUAAGACUUGUUUAAGAAAUAUACAUUAAAGUAAAGAAUGAUGAAUAUGUUAAAUAGUAUAAUUAUAAUAGUAGUAUAAUUUGGUAUCAAAUUGAUUGAAAUGAAUUGGUUGGUUGGAUUGGUCUCGGUUUUAAAAUUUGCAGGGAAAGUUAGAUAUUUAUAAAGGG